rnacentral:lncRNA from 1 species
AGUCAUUUCGUCAAAUUGGGGUCUACUUACUGACCCAACAAUGGGUCCACAGUCGUCUCGGGCAACUUGUGCAAUCCUAGCAGUCAAACAGUGAGAAUGGGCCCAAGGCCUAUAAUGCGGCCUAUAUAGGCCCACAUGCCCGUGUGGCCCAUUAAGCCCAAAAAUGGCCUUGGCCUUGUGGAAUACACAGCCUGGCCCAAUAUUCUCCACACGUUCGUGUGGUUUACCCACGCGGGGCCCACACGGCCCAUUUUGACCCCACAUGGCCUAACGGCUGUAAGACCCAAUUUGUGCCAGGGCUUACACCAAAACCAAAACCAAAAAAUAAAACAAAAAAAAUAAUAAACCCAAAAUCAAAGUCCAAGUACAGUCUUUAUACAAAUUAUAGUCUAAAUUAUAAUCCAUUUACCUAAAUUAAACCUAACCCAAUUAACCCAAAUAACCCAAAAUACCCCAGGCUCAAAAUCCCUAUGGAAUUUUCGGCAGAAAUCCUAGAUCAUCAGCACCGCAGCAACUUCCAGCACUGCUGCUGUCUCCGGGCUAGUCCUACACCUCAUCCCACGUGUGUCACCACCUCCAGUUGGCUCCUUCUGUACCUAUAACAAAUUAACAAACCACAAGCCACAGUAAGGAGGGCGCAACAACACAGCAAAUUUACAGCAAAUGGGCAGCGAAUGAAUAGAAAGAUCUAGGGAAUUUCUUUGAUUUUCUAUUUUUCUCUUUAUUCGGCUAUAAAUAAAGACCGAAUGUAAUUUGUAUGGGGAGGAUACAAAAUAGAAGGAAAAAGCGAUGAAAAACUAAGGUGAUUUAGAUUAUUUCUUUCUUUUUGAUUCUGCUCCUAUUUCACAAAUCUUUGUUACUGCAUAUAAAAACAAAAAUCAAAAAAGAGAAAAGGACUUACCAGAGAGUUGGCUCCUUCGAAUCCUCACUUGAUUCGUCGCAAUCGAAGUUAGGUGACGAUUUUAAGGCUGGUGAGUGAAACUCGUGGACCUCUGGUUGAAUAGGGCCUUGAUUGGCCAUUACAUAACACGAUCCAUCGAGAAGAGAAAAGGCAUUCGAAUGAGAUAUUUUGGUUCAGCCGAGUGGAAGUGUUUGUUUUUUCUUCUUUAUUUUGAUUUUGAUAAAGUGGCCAAGUGCUUGAUCUUAAGUUUGUUUUAGGUUUGAUUUUUGUGCAGAAUUCAAAACGGUGCAGUGUAAGUGGGGGAGAUCUGCGUGGGCAAACCUGAUCCAUAGGCUGGAUCCUUGCUUUGGUACUUCAAAUGGUUAAUUUGCGCGGAUGGUCCCUUGCCUUCACGCUGAAUUUUUAAUUGGUCCUUAUUCACAUUUUAGUUGUUUCAAUUUUUUUUUCCUUAGAAUUUACAUUGCAUAUUGAUAUUUGGAGCAUUUAUCUUUUUCAAUCCUCUCACAUUCGCGUGCACUCCAUUUUAGUCCUUAUUUCAGUUUCAAAUGCUUAUUUUCUUUAUUAAUUAAUCUUUUUAAGUUUGAUUUUGUUUCAAUUAAGAUCUUUUUCUCAUUUUAAUUUGUAUAGUUCAUUUUUUAAAAUACAUUUGGCAUUCAUCUUUUAUUUCUUCUAUACAUUUUAAAUUACCUUGAUAAAUUUAUUUUGUUUUUAUUGUAAAGUUUUUUAUAUCAAAUUAUUUUAACAUUUGUACAAUAUUUCUUUAAAUGUUCUAUAUGUAUUUGUACAUGUAUUAUUUUUAUUGAGAUUUUAACUUAUAAUGCUUAUUAUUUAAAAUUCAUUUAUUUUUUAUUUGAUCUGUGUUAAUAUUUUAUUUUUAUUUUUAUUUUUUUGUGUUUUAUUUGUAAUUAGGCUGUAGUUUUUAUAUUAUAGAUUUUUAAUACUUUGCAUAGCAUUUAACUCAAAUCUUUUUCUAUACUUGUACCUAUAUUAUUUUAAAUUGAAUCUUCUAUUCAUUAUGAAUUUUGAAAAUCCAUUUAGUUUUUUUUAUGUGUGUCAAAUUAUUUUAAUACUUUAUUUUAUAAAAUCAUUAUCUUGAGUUUUGUAUUUAUAUUAUAUUAUUUUAACUAUUAUGUAAUGUCUCAUUUAAAUAUUUUUUGCAUAUAUUUUUUUAAUGGUUAAAUCAUUAUUUUAAAAAUCAUUUUCCUUUUGUUUAUAAAAUUAUUGUUCGGAAAUUCUUUAUAUUAUAUUCUUUUAAUAUAUUAGUUAGUAUUUCAUUUUAAUGUUUCUUUAUAUAUAUCUGUACAUAUAUAGCAAAAUUAAUUUCAUCUUGUAGGCAUUUCAUGUUAUUUUUAUAAAUAAUUAUUUUUAAAUUUGUAUAUAAUUUAUAAGAUAAUCUAAUUUUAUAUGUAUUAUUAAUUUCAUAUUUUGUUUAUAUAAAUAAUUAUUCCUAUAUCAUAUGUGCAUGUCUCAAAAAAAAAUCUAUUAUGGGAACUAUACCUCAUCAUGUAUUUUUCUUCUUUUGUAUGUAAUAUAUUAUUUAAGUUAUCAUGUGAAUUAUCAAUUUUUGAAUGAAUUUGUGUAUUAAAUAUUUUAUAUAUAAUUUGAUUUGAUCUUUUUAUUUUAUAAUAACUAUUUCGAUAAACAUAUAUCCCAAGUUUUUAUGCAAAUUUGUUAACUUAUAUAUAUUAUGUGGUCAUUAAUUCAUCAUUAUGUUGAAAAUGUCUUAUACUAUAUUGAUUUCUAAUUCCAUUUUAUUUUAUACAUAUUUUUGUGCAUCAUUUUAUAUUGUGCCAUGUUAAUUAUUGUGUAUAUUAUUUUGUAUUAAUUAUUCACUAUCCAUGCUUAAAGAAUUUUUGGUCAUAUUGUGCUUGGAAUAAUUGUACAUAAUUGUUAAAUGUAUUAAGCGAGGUUGAACUUUGUGUAUAUUAUUUCAUAUUCAUUACCCCCUUUUUUAUAUGUAUAUACAUUUUGUUGCAAUGCAUUAAAUAUUUCAUUUAUUUUAAAACAAAUAAACGUGUUUUUUAGCAAAUUUCCAAUUUUCUGUUAUUCAAAGAUUCUAAAAUAAGGCAAUAUCUAAUAUUUGGGGAAUUCGAAAAAUCGUGCUCAAUCGUACUGGGUAUGACUUUUCCGGUGAACCAAAUAUUUGGAUACCCUUUUAUAAUUUUAAUGUAUGAAUUUUUCAAAAGUCGAAAAUCAAUCGCAUCUUAAAGGUAUAAGGGAUCGUAUCCAAUCGUACUGGGUAUGAAACCGCAUAUCUUUGAAACGAGAGAUUUUUGACCGCUAAUUUAAGCUAUUCAAACAUUUUUAAAAAAAUCAUACUUCAGAAAAUCUUUUCUUUUAAAACUUUUGAGAUAAGGACAGCAUCAAAUCAAUUUGGUACCAAUUCUUGGGCGUAUUGAGGGUGCUAACCCUUCCUUAUGCGUAACCGACUCCCAAACCCGUUUUUUUAUUUUACAUGAACCAAAUUUAUUUUUCAUUUAAUAAGCAUUUUAGUAGGUGAUCCAAUCACACCUAAAUCAAGAGAUUGGUGGCGACUCCACACUUUUGUUUUCAAAAGUCGAUCCCCAUUGCUUUCAAAAUAAAAAGGGUUUCGACAGCUUGGCGACUCCACUGGGGAUUGAACAAGGAGAGUCAGGCCAUAAAAUUGAUUAUUUGCUAUCCUUUUGUCUAAGAAUUGAAAAUUUGUUUUGAAAAUCAUGAUUUUUUUAAUUGCAUUUGUUUGCAUGAUUGUUGUGGUUCGAGUCUUGUAGAAUAAUAUGGCAAGGCAUUGCAUGACCGCUGUGGUUAUACCUGUUAAGUGGGAGUAAGAAACUAUGCUUUCGUGAGGUUUUCACCUCCGUAUGGGCUAGUGGAUUGCUUCUGGAAUACAUUCGUACUUAUGAUUUCGUGAGAUUUUCAUCUCCGCAUGGUCAUAGGGAAAUGUAUUCCCCUGAACUAAACUCGAUUCAUAUGAGCCUAUAAUGGGUGAGAAUUGAGGAAUUUGCUGGUUCAGGUACCCUUUCUCUAGAACCGAGCUACAUAUAGUGAACCUUGAGAAUCCACCUUUACAUAGAACCUUGCCCAAAUUUAGUGGUUACCUGAAUAGGUACUUUAUUUGAUAUUUUUUCACUUGUACUAACGUGUUUUGUUUUUGUUUUGUUUAUAAUUGCAUUGCAUUACAUUAUCAUAGAAAGGAGGUGUUGCUUCAUGUUUGAUUGCUAAAUAGAAUAGUUUGUCAUAAGAAAAUGAAUUUCCUGAUGAAGUGGAUUAUAAUACGGUUCUCUAAAUUGACGGAAGAAGGCUGACAGUUUGUGGAGAAAAAUAAGUCCUUACCUAAAGAUUCAAGCUGAUAAAGAUUGUUCGAGAGCCGUCGUAUCUCGAUUUUCUUAAUGGAGUUAAUCAACGUCGUAAGGAUAAUGAGUCGUAUCUUGGAUCAAGCAAAGAAGAGCUAGUGGAGGCAUUUAUUAGAGGCUUGCGAGAUUUGGAUUUCACAAAGAAAAGGGAUCAUUGUCUUCACCUGGAAUAUGAAAGCAAGGCCGUAUAUGUAAUCCAUUUUAUGUAAAGGGAUUUGUUUUCUAGAAAAGUUGUUCUAAUGGAAUUAAAUUGAAAAUCAACACUUCUCUUUCUUUUGCAUUCAUCCCAUGCAUUUGCAUUGCAUUGCAUCAUUUCAUCAUUUGCAUUAAACUUUCAUAAAAGGGGUUCCUAAUUAGUUGAAAUCAUUUCAGUUAAAAUGGGAACCAAUAAAAAUUUACAAACCAAGUGUUGUUAUGGUACCCGUGCUAAGACAAAAGAUAUGGACGAAACAUUGGAAAGACUUGAACAACUUCAAAGAGAGAUGCAAGACCAGUUACAAAUACAGAUGCAAGAGCAACUGGCGAAGAUCAGGCAUGAUAUGAGGGAUCUGGUGUUAGAGUCUCAAAGGAAUAUGUUGAACCAGUUGUCUCAAUUGCUGACAAAGGGGCUUGAAGAAAGGAAAAGUUUCAUGAUCAAUACUGGGAAGGACAAUGAGGAGCCUCUCCACCCUCCGGGUUUCACCCCGACAAAUGCUCAGCCGCAAGGUGUACCUAUUGUGAAAAUUCAGCAAUAUCAGGCCGGUACCUGCACCGAUAGAUUACCCGGCAGGCUCAGGCUCCAAACCGGGGGGCAAUCCAACCAAUCUUGAAGUUCCUGAUUUAGAUGAAAUGGUAAAAGCAGAGAGGGAAUUGCCAAGACAACUUGAGGAUUGGUAUAGGUGGUUGGAGGAAAAAUUGAAAGCAAUAGAGAAUGUUGACUUCUACUGUAGGAUUGACGCUAAGGAUCUGAGUUUGGUUCCCGGUCUAGUACUCUUGCCAAAAUUUAAAAUGCCAGAGUUUGAAAAGUACAAUGGGACUAGUUGUCCCGAAGCUCACAUCACAAUGUUCUGUCGAAGGAUGACAGGAUAUGUUAAUAAUGACCAACUGUUAAUCCAUUGCUUCCAAAAUAGUCUGAUCGGGUCAGCAGUUAAAUGGUACAAUCAAUUGAGCCGUGUUAAAAUCCAUUCAUGGAGGGACUUAGCACAAGAUUUUAUUUAGCAGUAUAGUCAUGUAACAGACAUGGUACUUGACAGGAUUACCUUGCAGAAUAUGGAAAAGAAGCAAAAUGAGAGCUUCAGGCAAUAUGCCCAAAGAUGGAGAGAAGUAGCAACACAAGUCCAACCGCCUCUUCUGGAAAAAGAGACCACGAUGCUUUUCAUCAAUACUCUGGAAGCCCCGUUCAUUAAUUAUAUGUUGGGAAGCGCUACUCUAUGCUUUUCAGAUAUAGUAAUGUUUGGUGAGAUGAUUGAAGAUGCGAUAAGAAAUGGGAAAAUAGAUAUGGGAGAAAACGCUAAAAGGUCAACUCCGGGAAACAAGGAAAAUGAAGUGAACAUCGUGAGCAUGCAUUCCAAAUUGGUCAACAUAGGCCAGCCAAGGGUUAUAACUACUAAUUAUCAAAGAGAAUUUGAAUGACAUAUCUAAAGAGAGGUCUAGGGAAUAAAAGUUUCCAAACCCUUAUGUACUUGGAAGUGUUUUAAGCAAUGAGACUAUGGAAGAUAUCCCUGUAUUUUUAGAACUGAUCUAGAGUAAUGUUCAAAACGCACUUGUUGCUUUUAAGCCUAGGGGCAAUAAGAAUCCUCUUGUGAAAUAGGCUUGUGUCCAAAAUUUUUAUUUCAAUAAAAUGCAUUCUUUUUGAGUAAAUAUUCUUUCAUUCUUUUUAUAUUCUUUUGUUCUUUGGACUAUUUUUUUUAAAAUAUGCUUUUAUUCUUCAUUCAUGAUCAUACCAUACAAAUAACUAUCCUUAGAAUCAUUUAUUCUUUGGAAUUUGCUAUUGUACCUACAAUAGGCCCCCAGAUAUCAAUGACAUGAGCAACACUGUAACUGACUCCCUUUUGGGGUGAGAUAGGUGUUUAAGCAGAUCCCAGGACUUUGAAAAUGACAGAGAUUGUGACUUAUUUCCUGAUUUGUUAGGGAUGGUAGAACAAGAUGAAAAAAUAGAUCCUACUUUACAAAGGGACAAUGGACAUUGUGAACAGGGGGCAAAGAUUGAAACCUGAGUCACCACAAGGACAAAAUGAAUUGUCUUUGAGUUGCUUCAAGAAAUUCAAAGAUGUUUUCACAUGAUUAUGUCGAGAUAUAUUUGAGAUAUUAAGAUCUGUGGAUGAUACAAAAUGUCUAUACAGUGCCAGAAGGACACAUGUUAAAGGUUUCAUGGUAGCCACGCUAAUCAUGAGGUUUGGGUAUUGUUGAUCCACCAUGGAAAGGGAUUGCAUUGGUUAAAGCCACAUUCAUUUCUUCACAGAUUUUCUCUAUAUGGGACAAGGAUGCUAUCAGGCCAUUCUCAUCAAUUCAUCUUAGCAGUCAUUGAUUACUUCACAAAGGGGGUGAAGGUCACUUCAUAUGUCAAUAUUACAAGACUGAUAGUCAUCAAAUUCUAAAAAAAAAUUCAAAAAAAAUUGCUGACAAGUAAUGUCAGAAAGGAUCACUUUCAAAUACAACUGCGCAAUGUCAAAAGUUUGCAGUCUGUUCAAAGAUCAAACACUAUAUUACAGUGCAGAAAAGGCAUUCAAAAAGAAAAAAAAUUACAAAAAUAGAAAAAAAAAAGAAAAGCAAACAACAGGACAAAGGUCAUAGUGAAAAAUGACUGAGUCUUGUAAGGAUUGGCAUAAAGAAGUUAUCAUUGACCUUCUAUAUUUGUCGAACAUGGGCCUGGACCAUCACCUGGGCAACACAUUGAUUUAUAGGACUGAAACAGUUUUUGAAAUCGAGAUUCCUUUUCUUCGAGUCUUGGCAGAAUUAAAGUUGGAUGAAUCAGAAUGGGUUCAAUCCUGAUCCGUCAAAUUUAAAAGAUAUUUGUCACAGCCAGAUGAUGCAGGUUUAUCCUCGAGAAUUCCAUGAGGGGAGAUUUGAUAUUGAAGAAGAUCCUUUCUAUACAAAAAGACUUCAAAGGAAGAUAUGCCAAACUAAGAGGGACCUUAUGUAAAAAAGGCCUGUUUUUGAUUGAAAGGAUUUGCCCAAUUCGGAGAAUUCAAAAUGCAGUCAAAGAGUGUUCUAUGGGAGAGGCCAAGGUGAAAACCCGCAAAGGGCGCCUUGAGAUUUAAAAAAAAUCAAUCAAAAUCAAAAAGAGAAAUAAAAAGAAAAAUAAAAAAUCAAUCAAAGAAAUUGAAAAAAGAAAGAAAAAGGAGAGACCAGGGCGAAAACCCGCAAAGGGCGCUUUGAGACCAAAGGGGAUUUGAGUUGAAAACCCGAAAAGGGCGGCUCAAAUUUGGAUCAAAAUGGAGCACACAGUAGUCUUACUUGCCUGAAUUAACAAUGAAAGAACUAUGUUAUGUCUUGGGGCAUCGACAAAGUACUUUGGAUCCCCUAAACACAGAUAAAGCUCUGAAUGGUCCUCGAGAAGUUGGUACAGAGAAGCUCAAGCUGCGAUAUUUGGGGCACCUAGUUUUUCAUUUUUACCCUUUGGUUAUCUUUGAUUACCUUAUUCUUUUCAGAUCACGUCCCAAUAGAUUUCUUUCUUGGUUGCAUUUGCUUGUUUGUUUCGAGCUAUGUUCUCAAUUAAUUCCUUUCUUGUCCAUGGUUAUGAUCUUUUUCAAGCAUUUUACAUUGAAAUAAUGAUUUUUGGACUAAUAAAUACUUUCAUAAAGGAAGUUUCACAUAUUACUUCGGGGAGUUUCUAAAUAAUACAGGAGCCUGAAACAGGUCUAUUGGUUAAAACUCACUAAGCUUAAGGGUUGAAAAUAUUGAAGCCCAAAUUGAGAUUAUCUCUUUGGAUUUUCUAUCAAAGAUAUUAAUUGGUGUUAUAAUCCCGGUAAAGAAUGAGUAAUGGAAUUAUCCUUGAGAAAAGAAAAACGGUAUUCUGUAUUUAUGCAGAUAUCAGUCAUAUACAUCUGUUCAUUAUACCCAAGGAAUAGUGUAACAGAUCAAAUUAAUGGAAGAUCCUAUACCUCGGAGUUGUAGCAGGAUAUAGAUAGAAGAAAUCAAAUGAUUAUUCCCCUAAAGUUACAGUGAGAAGUUCAAAUUUUAUGACCCAGAAGACUACAGUGUAAGGGACUCUGAAAUAACAGCGGGGCAAGCUUGCUGAGUAGAAUGUGAUUGUUUCUUUGGGUUUUCUGUCAAGAAUACCAGCCGAAUAAGAUGGAAGCAUAAUAAAUCAGAGAUAAUGCUCUGGUGAAUAACGAGCAAUGAUGCCUUAAGCAUUUUUUUUACCAAGAAAAAGAAAAAAGAUCAUUUAAAAAAAGAUCAUUUUCAUUUUUACAUUCAUUCAUAUAUCAUUCAUAACACAUUUAGUUAGGUGCAAUUGAUUCAUUUUGAUAAUAGCAUCCUAAUUAUUUGACAUCAGUAUCACAUCUAGUUAGGAGCAUUAGAUUCAUUUCGAUUAUAGCAUCCUAAUGGUUUGACAUGAGCAUUUCAUAGGAUCAUUUGAUUCAUUUUGAUCAUAGCAUCCUAAGUAUUUGGCAUAAACAUGAUAUAUAAAACCGAGUCUACAGGACAGGUCUGAGAGGACGGUGUAGUAACAUCGGUGAAGUCAGAUCUUAUAUCCCUGAAGUUACAGCGAAAUAGAUCAAAGAUUGCUAACCUUAUCUCUCUGAAGUUGCAGUGGAGCAGGUUGAAAUGUCAAUUGCAGUAAAGCAGAUCAUAACAAGUCUUAUCUCCCUAAGGUUGCAGUGGAGUAGAUUGAAGAUUGAAGAUCUUAUCUCCCUAAGCAGUAGCGAAGCAGAUCGAAGAUGGCGAAUCUUAUCUCUAUGUAUCGGCAAUGGAGCAGAUUUUAGCCACUGACCUUAUCUCUUUGAGGUAGCAAGAGAGCAGGUUGAAGAUGAUAGUCUUAUCUUCCUGAGAUAGUAAGGAAGCAGACUGGAAUUUGCAAAUUUUAUCUCUCUAAGCAGUAGUGGAGCAGAUCAAAAAUGAUGAAUCUUAUCUCCAUGUAUCAGCAAUGGAGCAGAUUGGUGAUAAUAGUCUUAUCUUCCUGAGGUAGCAAGGAAACAGACUGAGAAUUGAAGAUUUUAUCUCCCUGAGAUUGCAGCAGGGCAGAUCUUCACAUAUGGUGAAUCUUAUCUCCAUGUAUCGGCAAUGGAAUAGAUUUUACCACCAAGCCUUAUCUCUCUGACGUAGUAAGAGAGCAGGUUGAAGAAUGAGUCUUAUCUUCCUGAGGUAGCAAGGAAGCAGACUAAGAAUUGAAGAUUUUAUCUCCCUGAAGUUGCAGCGGAGCAGAUAUUCAUAGAUGAUGAAUCUUAUCUCCAUGUAUCGGCAAUGGAGCAAAUUUAAGCUUUAAGCCUUAUCUCUCUGAGGUAGCAAGAGAGCAGGUUGGCCAUCUUCUUGAGGUAGCAAGGAAGUAGACUGAAGAUUGAAGAUCUUAUCUCCCUAAGCAGUAGCGGAGCAGAUCGAGGAUGACGAAUCUUAUCUCCAUGUAUCGGUAAUGGAGCAGAUUUUAGCUAUUGACCUUAUCUCUCUGAGGUAGCAAGAGAGCAAGUUGGCGAUUGUAGUCUUAUCUUCCUAAGGUGGCAAGGAAGCAGACUGAAGAUUGAGGAUUUUAUCUCCCUGAGAAGCUAUGAAACAAAUUGAAGAUGGUGAAUCUUAUCUUCAUGUAUCAGCAAUGGAGCAGAUUUUACUACCAGCCUUAUCUCUCUAAGGUUGCAAAAGAGCAGGUUGAAAAAUGAGUCUUAUCUUUCUGGGGUAACAAGAAAGCAGACUGAAGAUUGAAGAUUGGAAGAGGCAAAUCUUAUCUCUAUGUAUCAGCAAUGGAGCAGAUUUAAGCCUCAAGCCUUAUCUCUCUGAGGUAGCAAGAGAGCAGGUUGAAGAUUGAGUCUUAUCUUUCUGAGGUAGCAAGAAAGCAGACUGAAAAUUGAAGAUCUUAUCUCCCUGAAAUUGCAGCGGGGCAGAUCAAAGAUGGUGAAUCUUAUCUCCAUGUAUCAGAAAUGGAACAGAUUCUACCACUAGCCUUAUCUCUCUGAGGUAGCAAGUGAGCAGGUUGGCGAUUUUAGUCUUAUCUUCUUGAGGUAGCAAGGAAGCAGACUGGAGAUUGAAGAUCUGUUUCCCUAAAGCAGUUGCAGAGCAGAUUGAAGAUGGCGAAUCUUAUCUCCAUGUAUUGGCAAUGGAGUAGAUUUAAGUCAUCAGUCCUAUUUCCCUAAAGUUACAGUCAAGAUUCAGCAAAAUCAGGCAAAAUUGGCCUUAUUUAAAGUCUUUGUUCUAUUUUUGUUACACGACAAUGAGCAAAGAAGGGCAACUGUAAGACCCAAUUUGUGCCCAGGCUUACACCAAAACCAAAACCAAAAAAUAAAACAAAAAAAUAAUAAACCCAAAAUCAAAGUCCAAGUACAGUCUUUAUACAAAUUAUAGUCUAAAUUAUAAUCCAUUUACCUAAAUUAAACCUAACCCAAUUAACCCAAAUAACCCAAAAUACCCCAGGCACAAAAUCUCAUGGAAUUUUCGACAGAAAUCCUAGAUCAUCAGCGCCGCAGCAACUUCCAGCAGCCUCUAGUACUGCUACUGUUUUCAGGCCAGUCCUACACCUCAUCCCACGUGUGUCACCACCUCCAGAUGGCUCCUUCUGUAUGUGUAACAAAUUAACAAACCACAAGCCACAGCAAGGAGGGCGCAACAACACAGCAAAUUUACAGCAAAUGGGCAGCGAAUGAAUAGAAAGAUCUAGGGAAUUUAUUUGAUUUUCUAUUUUUCUCUUUAUUCGGCUAUAAAUAAAGACCGAAUGUAAUUUGUAUGGUGAGGAUACAAAAUAGAAGGAAAAAGCGAUGAAAAACUAAGGUGAUUUAGAUUAUUUCUUUCUUUUCGAUUCUGCUCCUAUUUCACAAAUCUUUGUUACUGCACAUAAAAACAAAAAUCAAAAAAGAGAAAAGGACUUACUAGAGAGUUGGCUCCUUUGAAUCCUCACUUGAUUCGUCACAAUCAAACUUAGGUGACGAUUCUAAGGCUGGUGAGAGAAACUCGCGGACCUCUGGUUGAAUAGGGCCUUGAUUGGCCAUUACAUAACACGAUCCGUCGAGAAGAGAAAAGGCGUUCGAAUGGGAGAUUUUGGUUCAGCCGAGUGGAAGUGUUUGUUUUUUCUCCUUUAUUUUGAUUUUGAUAAUGUGGCCAAGUGCUUGACCUUAAGUUUCUUUUAGGUUUGAUUUUUGUGCAGAAUUCAAAACGGUGCAGUGUAAGUGGGGGAGAUCUACGUGGGCUGUAAUAUCCUGAAUUAGGGCUUAAUCGAAAUAGUGGUUUUGUGACCACAAAUCUGAGAUAGAAAUAAUUAUUUUAUAAUUAUUUUGAUGAUUAUGAUAUGAUUGCAUGAUUGUGUGAAAAAUUCGUGAUGAAAUUCUAUGCCGAAAGUGCUUAAAUUGAAAGUAGGGACUAAAUCGAAUAAGUUGCAAAACUUGCAUUCUAGAAGUUUUUAGCAUGAAAUUGUUUUGGAAUAUUAAUGAGGAGGUCUUAAAUAGAAAUUUGACCAAUUUUAAGUUCAUGGACAAAAUUGGGACAUGGAAGGAAUUUUUGGAAAGUUUAGUAGUAAGGGUAUUUUGGUCAUUUAGUUAUUAAAAUGAAUUAAAAACAAAAUUAAAAGCCAAUUUUUGUCCAUCUUCUUCAUUAGGCCGAAAUUUCAAGGGUUCUCCAUAGCUAGGGUUUGUUUCAAGCUUCCAAGCUACAUAGGAUGUGAUUCCAAGCCCCGUUUUUAAUGUUCAUUACGUUUUUGGAAUCCCAGUAGCUCGAUUAAGCUUAUGUUAGCAAUAAUUCAACCUAGGGUUUAUAUUUGGAAAAAUACCCAUAGCUGAAAUUUGUGUAUUUUGAUGUUUUAUGAUAGAAUAUGAGGUUUUAAAUUAUGUUAGACAACUUGUGCUACUCGGUUUUGAGUGAAAACGAGUAAAAGGGCUUAAUCGGUAAAAAUACCUAAUAGUCACAAGUAUAUGUUAGAGAGAGAAUUUGAUGUUGCCAUAGAAGGGAAAAGUGAUCAGCAUGUUAUAAAACAUAAGAAUAAGGAAUAAAGUUUAAUUCCCGAGCCUAGGGGCAAAAGUGUAAUUAUGCAAAAGUUUAGGGGCAAAAGUGUAAUAUUUCCAAAGUUCGUAUUAAAUGCUGUUUUGAUGAAUGUAUGUAUUAAAUAAGAUUAAUUUGGCAUCAUAGAUCAAGAGAAACGAGAUUCAAGUCGCGAUCGAGGAAAAGAAAAGAUUGUGGACUAAAUUGCAAAAUCUUUAUAUUUUGGUACCAAGGUAAGUUCAUGUGUAAAUAAUGUAGCAUAAUUGUUAUUUUUAAGUUAUUGAUGUUAAUUAUAUGAUAUGCUGAUUUUUUUUAUAGUGAAAUAAUAUGCUUUGUGGUUAAUGUUGAGUAAUAUGCAAAUUAUGUUUACUACUUGAUAAAUAUGAAUUGCUACCGAGUAUCGGUUCCGAUAUUCCAUGGAAGACGACAAAUGUGAGAUCGAGGGAAAAAGCCCGUUUGAACCUUAGGAAUAGAUUAGGAUACAAGUGACAUGUCACUAGGAUGGUUGAGCAUCCGAACUCGUUGAGUUGAGUCCGAGUUCACCUAUGGAUGCGAAUGUCCGAACUCGUUGAGUUGAGUCCGAGUUCGUGAGAUGUAACUAGGCAUCCGAACUCGUUGAGUUGAGUCCGAGUUCACUUAUGGAUGCGAACGCCCGAGCUCGUUGAGUUGAGUCCGAGUUCACUUAGGGGCGGGUUACAUGAUUUCUUGAUUACAUAUGAGGCACUUAUGUGCAAAUUAUCCGUGUAUCCGAGUUGUAUUCCGAUGUGUUCAACGGGUGAAAUUUCUAGUGAAAUGGAAGAACACUUAAGAUGCAAGUGACGUUUUGGUAAGUGUUGUGAAAUGGACACUUUGGACAGGUAUGUUCUUAACCCUCGGGUUGAAAAUAGAUACAAAAACGAUAAGGUGGUAAGAUGAUGAAUGAUGUUUAGAAAUAUGACAUAUGUUUUGGUGAUACCAUGCUAAAGUUGUUUGGUAUAUUUGUAUUGUUAUGUUACUUGUUAUUUACAUAUGAACUUACUACGCAUUUAUGCUUACUCCUUCCUUUUCAUUCACUGUAGUUUUGAACAAGCCGACUCAGGAAUCGGGACAGGUCGAAAGUUCGAUCACACUAUCCAAAGGACUUUCAUCUGGGUAAAUGGCUUGUAAAACUUAAGUAUGGCAUGUAUAGCAAUAUACUUAUUUUGUGUAAAUAAUUUUAUGAUAUGGCCAUGUUUGGUUGAGAAAAUGUUUGAUAUUGAUAAGUCAUGGUGAUGGCUAAUUUAGAUCAUGUUUGAUAUUAUGGAAGUUUAAUAGGUUAUCUAGUUCAUAAAAAUUCAUGGAAAGAUGAAACUUGCCUGAAAAUAGAAUAUUGCUGCAGCAAUGACAUGAAUUUGAAAAAUCACUAAAAAUAGUAUAAAUGGAACUAAAUAAUGAGUAAUUUAUGAAAUUGAAGCUUAAUGAGUCUAUUUUCAUGUGGAUUGAACAAAACAGGCAUAAAAUUUAUAUUUUAUGAGAUAUUUAAACUUUUGUGAAACAGGGCCAGAGUGAUUUCUGGAUCCCCUGUUCUGACUUUAAAAAUUCAUAAUAAAUUUUAAAAAAAUAAUUAUAAGUUUUUCUUUAUAUUUACAGAUUCCUUAUUGAGUCUAGUUUUAAGAAAAACAAACCUCGUAGUCAUUGAAAUUCUGUAUAGAGAGAUAUUUGAUUCGUAAUACACAGAUGUCAGAGUAGUCAAACCCUGAAACAGGGGAGACUUUAACUAAUAAACUGUACUAAUUGGCCCAACCAAAAAUUCUAUAAAAAAUUAGUAAAUAGAUAUAUGAGUCUAGAUUUAUGGAAAAUUUACAGAUCUUGAUUUCGAGUUUCGUAACUCUAGAUAUGAUUUUUCUUGUAACUGUGACGUGGGUAGUUAGAAAGCUGUGAAUGUAGAAACAAAUGAUUUGAAGUUCUUAAUUUGAUAAAUUAUGUUCGGUAACCCCUCAAGCUCGACUCCGGCGAUGGUUUCGGGUGUGGGGGCGUUAUAGUUGGUGGUAUCAGAGCAGGUUUAGUCAGUUCUCGAACUACGUGUUGUAUGUACGGAUUUUGCUAUACAUGCCAUAUGUAUGAAUUGUGAUAGUGUGACGACUUCUGACCUUUUUAAAUGAAUUUUUAUAUAGUAAAUGGAUCCCGAUCCAGCUGUGGCAGAUGAAGUAGAGAGUAAUGCGCCAGCUCCGGCUGAAGGGGCAGCGCCGACUGAAAACCCACCUCCUACUGUUGGUCAGGGAGGAGGAGAAAGGGAUCGGGAAGCCUUUCUCCAAAUGAUGAGUGCAUGGUACACUGAGUUCGUUCGUACGAACCCAAAUGUACGACCUCCCCCACCUCCCCCAAUUCCUCAACUAUGCCUCCAAUGCCUCAAGGAGUGGAUAUGAUAAAAUUUCACAGAACCCCUGUUGAUAGAAUUCGUAAACAAGGGGCUGAAGAAUUUAGAGCAAAUAUUGAUGAUGAUGCAGAGAAAGCAGAGUUCUGGCUUGAAAAUUCUAUCCGGGUAUUUGAUGAAUUAUCUUGUACACCUGAAGAAUGUUUGAAAUGUGCUACAUCUUUGUUGAGAGAUUCAACCUAUAAUUGGUGGAAGACUUUGAUUUCAGUGGUACCGAAAGAGAGGGUAACCUGGGAAUUCUUUCAAGAAGAGUUUCGGAAGAAAUAUAUUAGUGAAAGAUUUAUUGAUCAGAAAUGUAAAGAGUUUCUUGAGCUGAAGCAAGGUAAUAUGACAGUCUCAGAAUAUGAAAGAGAGUUUGUUCGAUUAAGUAAGUAUGCCAGGGAAUAUGUUCCUACAGAAGCCAAGAUGUGCCGACGAUUUGAAGACGGGCUUAACGAAGACAUUAAGGUAUUUGUUGGGAUCCUUGAACUAAAAGAAAUGGUGGUACUUGUCGAUCGAGCUUCAAGGCUGAAGAAUUUCUGAAGGAAAAGAAAAAGGUAGAAUCUGAAACACGAAAUUGGAAGAAAAGACCAAUGAGUAAUGCACCCUCACAGCAAAUCAGAAAGUCAAGAAAUAUGAAUCCUCGUUCCGAAGUUUCAGCUGGGCAAUCAUAUGAAAAUUUUAAGAAGCGAAAUUUGGGUCCUAAAUCUCAGACUACUUCUGCGGCUAGUGUGGGAAAUACGAGAUUUGUUAAACCCGAGUUCCAGCGGUGUGGUAGAAAUCAUUUUUGUCCGUGCAGAGCAAAUGAAUGUUUUCGAUGUGGUUCUCCAGAACAUUUUAUUAGAGACUGCCCAGAGAGAGCUGAGAAAGAAAAAUUUCAGAAUGUAAAAUCUAGUGGUGCAGACUCGAGGGGAAGGUAUUCGAGAAAAGCUGGAAGUGAAACAAGCAGUAAGAAUGUAGCCAGAGAUGCAGCAGUUAGAUCUGAAGGAAAAGCUCCAACUAGAACCUAUGCUAUUAAAGCGCGUGAAGAUGCUUCCUUACCCGAUGUGAUUACCGGUACAUUUUCUCUUUAUGAUACUAAUGUUAUUGCUUUGAUUGAUCCCGGUUCUACUCAUUCAUAUGUAUGCAUGAAACUGGUGUCUAGUAUGAAUAUACCUGUUGAGAACACCGAAUUUAUGAUUAGAGUGUCGAACUCGUUAGGCAAAUGCAUGAUAGUUGAUAAAGUAUGCAAGAAAUGCCCUUUAAUGAUUCGGGGUCAUUACUUUCUGGCCGACUUGAUGUUGUUGCCGUUUGAUGAAUUUGAUGUUAUUUUGGGUAUGGAUUGGUUGACAUUGCAUGAUGCUAUAGUAAAUUGCAAAGAAAAGGUUAUAGAAUUAAAAUGUGAAAGUGGUGAAAUCUUGCGGGUUGAACCAGAAAAAUCAGAGGCAAUAUUUUGUAUGAUUUCUUCGAUGUCGGCUCAGAGAUAUUUGAGAAAGGGUUAUGAAGCUUAUUUGGCGUAUGUAAUUAAUACAAAAGAAGUUGAAAAGAAAGUUGAAUCAGUGCCGGUUGUGUGUGAAUUUGCGGACGUAUUUCCAGAAGAAUUGCCGGGUUUGCCUCCAGUCAGGGAAGUAGAAUUUGGUAUAGAUUUGAUAUCGGGAACAGCUCCGAUCUCGAUUGCUCCAUAUAGAAUGGCACCAACAGAGUUGAAAAAAUUAAAGUCGCAGUUGCAAGAGUUGACUGAUAAAGGCUUUGUGAGACCAAGUUUUUCACCUUGGGGUGCUCCCGUGUUAUUUGUGAAAAAGAAGGAUGGUUAUAUGAGAUUAUGUGUUGAUUAUCGGCAGUUAAACAAGGUGGCAAUCAAAAACAAGUAUCCAUUGCCGAGAAUUGAUGAUUUGUUUGAUCAGCUAAAAGGAGCAACAUGGUUUUCAAAGAUUGACUUGAGAUCUGGGUAUUAUCAGCUGCGAGUAAAAAGAGUCAGAUGUGCCUAAAACUGCUUUUAGAACAAGGUACGGUCAUUAUGAAUUUUUAGUUAUGCCAUUCGGGUUGACAAAUGCUCCUGCUGUGUUUAUGGAUUUAAUGAAUCGCAUAUUUCGGCCAUACUUGGACAGAUUUGUUGUGGUGUUUAUAGAUGAUAUUUUAAUUUAUUCAAAAGAUGAGACAGAGCAUGCUGAGCAUUUGAGGAUAGUUUUGCAAACUUUGAGAGAUAAGCAGCUGUAUGCUAAGUUUAGUAAAAGUGAAUUUUGGCUCCGGGAAGUUGGAUUUUUGGGUCAUAUUGUUUCAGGUGAUGGUAUACGGGUUGAUCCUAGUAAAAUUUCAGCCAUUGUUGAUUGGAAACCACCGAAAAAUGUAACUGAAGUUAGGAGUUUCUUGGGGCUAGCUGGGUAUUAUCGGCGGUUCGUAAAUGAAUUUUCUAUAAUUGCUGCUCCUAUGACUAGACUACUCCGAAAGGAUGUUAAAUUUGAAUGGACGAAAGAAUGUCAACAGAGUUUCAAAGAAUUGAAAAAGUUAUUAACUGAAGCACCAGUGUUGAUACAACCCGAAUUAGGUAAAGAAUUUGUGGUGUAUAGUGAUGCUUCUCUAAAUGGUUUGGGGUGUGUACUCAUGCAAGAAGGAAAAGUGGUGGCUUAUGCUUCGAGGCAGUUAAAACCUCAUGAGAGGAAUUAUCCUACUCACGAUUUGGAAUUGGCUGCAGUGGUGUUUGCUUUGAAGAUUUGGCGACAUUAUUUGUAUGGUGAAAAGUGCCGAGUAUAUACCGAUCACAAAAGUCUUAAAUACUUGAUGUCACAAAAAGACUUGAAUUUGAGACAGCGAAGAUGGUUAGAGUUAUUGAAAGAUUACGAGCUUGUUAUUGAUUAUCAUCCAGGAAAAGCGAAUGUGGUUGCCGAUGCUUUAAGCAGAAAGUUGUUGUUUGCUUUGAGAGUUAUGAACGCUCAGUUGAAAAUUUCAGAUGACGGUUCGAUUCUAGCAGAGUUAAGAGCAAGACCGAUGUUUUUACAAGAGAUUUUUGAAGCUCAAAAAAAUGGUCAAGAUUUGCUAGCCAAAAGAAAACAGUGUGAAGCUAAUACGGGAUCAGAUUUCAGAAUCGGUUCUGAUGGUUGUUUGAUGUUUAAAAAUUGGAUUUUUGUAUCGAAAAAUGAUGAGUUGAUUCAAAAGAUUUUGCAUGAAGCACAUAAUAGUUGUUUGGCGGUUCAUCCGGGCAGUACGAAGAUGUAUAAUGACUUAAAGAAAAUGUACUGGUGGAGUGGAAUGAAAAGAGAUAUUUUCGAGUUUGUAUCAAAGUGCUAAGUUUGUCAACAAGUGAAAGCUGAACACUAGGUACCUUCGGGAUUACUUCAGCCUAUUAUGGUUCCUGAAUGGAAAUGGGAUAGGAUUACUAUGGAUUUUAUAUCAGGGUUGCCGUUAACUCCAGGGAAGAAAAAUGCCAUCUGGGCAAUAGUUGACAGACUGACUAAAUCGGCUCAUUUUAUUCCGGUACGUACAGAUUAUUCUCUUAAUAAGUUGGCUGAAUUGUAUAUCCAAGAGAUUGUUAGACUUCAUGGGAUACCUUUGUCAAUCAUUUCGGAUAGAGAUCCGAGGUUUACCUCGCGGUUUUGGCAAAAGUUGCAAGAGGCAUUAGAUACAAAGUUAAAUUUUAGCACUGCCUUUCAUCCACAAACUGAUGGACAAUCAGAGAGAGUAAUUCAGAUUCUUGAAAACAUGCUCAGAUGUUGCGUAUUGGAAUUUCAAGAUAGUUGGGAAAGGUACUUACCAUUGGUAGAAUUUGCUUAUAAUAAUAAUUAUCAGACGAGUUUGAAGAUGGCACCUUAUGAAGCAUUAUAUGGUCGUAAAUGUCGGAUGCCAUUGUAUUGGACUGAACUCAAGGAAAAUCAGAUUUAUGGAGUUGAUUUAAUAAAAGAAACCGAAGAAAAGGUGAAAGUGAUUCGAGAUUGUUUGAAAGCUGCUUCAGAUAGACAGAAAUCUUAUGCGGAUUUGAAACGAAAAGAAAUGGAGUUUCAAGUUGGUGAUAAGGUAUUUUUGAAAGUGUCUCCAUGGAAGAAAGUCCUUAGAUUUGGACGAAAUGGUAAGUUAAGUCCGCGUUUUAUUGGACCAUAUGAAAUAAUUGAAAAAGUUGGACCGGUAGCAUAUCGACUAGUGUUACCACCCGAAUUAGAGAAGAUUCAUGAUGUGUUUCACAUAUCUAUGUUACGCCGGUAUCGUUCGAAUCCUUCACAUAUAAUUUCACCGACAGAAAUUGAACUGCGACCGGAUAUGACUUAUGAAGAAGAACCGAUUAAGAUUUUAGCUCGAGAAGUCAAACAACUAAGAAAUAAAAGUGUUGCACUUGUGAAAGUGUUGUGGCAAAAGCAUGGGGUAGAAGAGACUACAUGGGAACCUGAAGAAACUAUGAGAAACCAAUAUCCACACCUGUUUACCGGUAAGAUUUUCGAGGAUGAAAAUCCUUAAAAGGGGGGAGAGUUGUAAUAUCCUGAAUUAGGGCUUAAUCAGAAUAGUGGUUUCGUGACCAGAAAUUCGAGAUAGAAAUAAUUAUUUUAUAAUUAUUUUGAUGAUUAUGAUAUGAUUGCAUGAUUGUGUGAAAAUUUCGUGAUGAAAUUCUAUGCCUAAAGUGCUUAAAUUGAAAGUAGGGACUAAAUCGAAUAAGUUGCAAAACUUGCAUUCUAGAAGUUUUUAGUAUGAAAUUGUUUUGGAAUAUUAAUGAGGAGGUCUUAAAUAGCAAUUUGACCAAUUUUAAGUUCAUGGACAAAAUUAGGACAUGGAAGGAAUUUUUGGAAAGUUUAGUAGUAAGGGUAUUUUGGUCAUUUAGUUAUUAAAAUGAAUUAAAAACAAAAUUAAAAGCCAAUUUUUUUCCAUCUUCUUCAUUAGGCCGAAAUUUCAAGGGUUCUCCAUAGCUAGGGUUUGUUUCAAGCUUCCAAGCUGCAUAGUAAGUGAUUCCAAGCCCCGUUUUUAAUGUUCAUUACGUUUUUGGAAUCCCGGUAGCUCGAUUAAGCUUAUGUUAGCAAUAAUUCAACCUAGGGUUUAUAUUUGGAAAAAUACCCAUAGGUGAAAUUUGUGUAUUUUAAUGUUUUAUGAUAGAAUAUAAGGUUUUAAAUUAUGUUAGACAACUUGUGCUACUCGGUUUUGAGUGAAAACGAGUAAAAGGGCUUAAUCGGCAAAAAUACCUAAUAGUCACAAGUAUAUGUUAGAGAGAGAAUUUGAUGUUGCCAUAGAAGGGAAAAGUGAUCAGCAUGUUAUAAAACAUAAGAAUAAGGAAUAAAUUUUAAUUCCCGAGCCUAGGGGCAAAAGUGUAAUUAUGCAAAAGUUUAGGGGCAAAAGUGUAAUUUUUCCAAAGUUCGUAUUAAAUGCUGUUUUGAUGAAUGUAUGUAUUAAAUAAGAUUAAUUUGGCAUCAUAGAUCAAGAGAAACGAGAUUCAAGUCGCGAUCGAGGAAAAGAAAAGAUUGUGGACUAAAUUGCAAAAUCUUUAUAUUUUGGUACCAAGGUAAGUUCAUGUGCAAAUAAUGUAGCAUAAUUGUUAUUUUUAAGUUAUUGAUGUUAAUUAUAUGAUAUGCUGAUUUUUUUUAUAGUGAAAUAAUAUGCUUUGUGGUUAAUGUUGAGUAAUAUGCAAAUUAUGUUUACUACUUGAUAAAUAUGAAUUGCUACCGAGUAUCGGUUCCGAUAUUCCAUGGAAGACGACAAAUGUGAGAUCGAGGGAAAAAGCCCGUUUGAACCUUAGGAAUAGAUUAGGAUACAAGUGACAUGUCACUAGGAUGGUUGAGCAUCCGAACUCGUUGAGUUGAGUCCGAGUUCACCUAUGGAUGCGAAUGUCCGAACUCGUUGAGUUGAGUCCGAGUUCGUGAGAUGUAACUAGGCAUCCGAACUCGUUGAGUUGAGUCCGAGUUCACUUAUGGAUGCGAACGCUCGAGCUCGUUGAGUUGAGUCCGAGUUCACUUAGGGGCGGGUUACAUGAUUUCUUGAUUACAUAUGAGGCACUUAUGUGCAAAUUAUCCGUGUAUCCGAGUUGUAUUCCGAUGUGUUUAACGGGUGAAAUUUCUAGUGAAAUGGAAGAACACUUAAGAUGCAAGUGACGUUUUGGUAAGUGUUGUGAAAUGGACACUUUGGACAGGUAUGUUCUUAACCCUCGGGUUGAAAAUAGAUACAACAACGAUAAGGUGGUAAGAUGAUGAAUGAUGUUAAGAAAUAUGACAUAUGUUUUGGUGAUACCAUGCUAAAGUUGUUUGGUAUAUUUGUAUUGUUAUGUUACUUGUUAUUUACAUAUGAACUUACUAAGCAUUUAUGCUUACUCCUUCCUUUUCAUUCACUGUAGUUUUGAACAAGCCGGCUCAGGAAUCGGGACAGGUCGAAAGCUCGAUCACACUAUCCAAAGGACUUUCAUCUGGGUAAAUGGCUUGUAAAACUUAAGUAUGGCAUGUAUAGCAAUAUACUUAUUUUGUGUAAAUACUUUUAUGAUAUGGCCAUGUUUGGUUGAGAAAAUGUUUGAUAUUGAUAAGUCAUGGUGAUGGCUAAUUUAGAUCAUGUUUGAUAUUAUGGAAGUUUAAUAGGUUAUCUAGUUCAUAAAAAUUCAUGGAAAGAUGAAACUUGCCUUAAAACAGAAUAUUGCUGCAGCAAUGACAUGAAUUUGAAAAAUCACUAAAAAUAGUAUAAAUGGAACUAAAUAAUGAGUAAGUUAUGAAAUUGAAUCUUAAUGAGUCUAUUUUCAUGUGGAUUGAACAAAAUAGGCAUAUAAAUUAUAUUUUAUGAGAUAUUUAAACUUUUGUGAAACAGGGCCAGAGUGAUUUCUAGAUCCCCUGUUCUGACUUUAAAAAUUCAUAAUAAAUUUUAAAAAAAUAAUUAUAAGUUUUUCUUAAUAUUUACAGAUUCCUUAUUGAGUCUAUUUUUAAUAAAAACAAACCUCGUAGUCAUUGAAAUUCUGUAUAGAGAGAUAUAUGAUUCGUAAUACACAGAUGUCAGAGCAGUCAAACCCUGAAACAGGGGAGACUUUAACUAAUAAACUUUAGUAAUUGGCCUAACCAAAAAUUCUAUAAAAACAUUAGUAAAUAGAUAUAUGAGUCUAGAUUUAUGGAAAAUUUACGGAUCUUGAUUUCGAGUUUCGUAACUCUAGAUAUGAUUUUUCUUGUAACUGUGACACGGGUAGUUAGAAAGCUGUGAAUGUAGAAACAAAUGAUUUGAAGUUCUUAAUUUGAUAAAUUAUGUUCGGUAACCCCUCAAGCUCGACUCCGGCGACGGUUUCGGGCGUGGGGGCGUUACAUGGGAAAACCUAAUCCAUAGGCUGGAUCCUUGCUUUGGUACUUUAAAUGGUUAAUUUGCGCGGAUGGUCCCUUGCCUUCGCGCUAAAUUUUUAAUUGGUCCUUAUUCACAUUUUAGUUGUUUCAAUUUUUUCCCCUUAGAAUUUACAUUGCAUAUUGAUAUCUGGAGCAUUUAUCUUUUUCAAUCCUCUCACAUUCGCGUGCACUCCUUUUGAGUCCCUAUUUCGGUUUCAAAAGCUUAUUUUCUUUAUUAAUUAAUCUUUUUAAGUUUGAUUUUGUUUCAAUUAAGAUCUUUUUCUCAUUUUAAUUUGUAUAGUUCAUUUUUUAAAAUACAUUUGGCAUUCAUCUUUUAUUUCUUCUAUACAUUUUAAAUUACCUUGAUAAAUUUAUUUUGUUUUUAUUGUAAAGUUUUUUUAUAUCAAAUUAUUUUAACAUUUGUACAAUAUUUCUUUAAAUGUUCUAUAUGUAUUUGUACAUGUAUUAUUUUUAUUGAGAUUUUAACUUAUAAUGCUUAUUAUUUAAAAUUCAUUUAUUUUUUAUUUGAUCUGUGUUAAUAUUUUAUUUUUAUUUUUAUUUUUUUGUGUUUUAUUUGUAAUUAGGCUGUAGUUUUUAUAUUAUAGAUUUUUAAUACUUUGCAUAGCAUUUAACUCAAAUCUUUUUCUAUACUUGCACCUAUAUUAUUUUAAAUUGAAUCUUCUAUUCAUUAUGAAUUUUAAAAAUCCAUUUAGUUUUUUUAUGUGUGUCAAAUUAUUUUAAUACUUUAUUUUAUAAAAUCAUUAUCUUGAGUUUUGUAUUUAUAUUAUAUUAUUUUAACUAUUAUGUAAUGUCUCAUUUAAAUAUUUUUUGCAUAUAUUUUUUUAAUGGUUAAAUCAUUAUUUUAAAAAUCAUUUUCCUUUUGUUUAUAAAAUUAUUGUUCGAAAAUUCUUUAUAUUAUAUUCUUUUAAUAUAUUAGUUAGUAUUUCAUUUUAAUGUUUCUUUAUAUAUAUUUGUACAUAUAUAGCAAAAUUAAUUUCAUCUUGUAGGCAUUUCCAUGUUAUUUUUAUAAAUAAUUAUUUUUAAAUUUGUAUAUAAUUUAUAAGAUAAUCUAAUUUUAUAUGUAUUAUUAAUUUCAUAUUUUGUUUAUAUAAAUAAUUAUUCCUAUAUCAUAUGUGCAUGUCUCAAAAAAAAAAACUAUUAUGUGAACUAUACCUCAUCAUGUAUUUUUCUUCUUUUGUAUGUAAUAUAUUAUUUAAGUUAUCAUGUGAAUUAUCAAUUUUUGAAUGAAUUUGUGUAUUAAAUAUUUUAUAUAUAAUUUGAUUUGAUCUUUUUAUUUUAUAAUAACUAUUUCGAUAAACAUAUAUCCCAAGUUUUUAUGCAAAUUUGUUAACUUAUAUAUAUUAUGUGGUCAUUAAUUCAUCAUUAUGUUGAAAAUGUCUUAUACUAUAUUGAUUUCUAAUUCCAUUUUAUUUUAUACAUAUUUUUGUGCAUCAUUUUAUAUUGUGCCAUGUUAAUUAUUGUGUAUAUUAUCUUGUAUUAAUUAUUCACUAUCCAUGCUUAAAGAAUUUUUGGUCAUAUUGUGCUUGGAAUAAUUGUACAUAAUUGUUAAAUGUAUUAAGCGAGGUUGAACUUUGUGUAUAUUAUUUCAUAUUCAUUACCCCCUUUUUUAUAUGUAUAUACAUUUUGUUGCAAUGCAUUAAAUAUUUCAUUUAUUUUAAAACAAAUAAACGUGUUUUUUAGAAAAUUUCCAAUUUUCUGUUAUUCAAAGAUUCUAAAAUAAGGUAAUAUCUAAUAUUUGGGGAAUUCGAAAAAUCGUGCUCAAUCGUACUGGGUAUGACUUUUCCGGUGAACCAAAUAUUUGGAUACCCUUUUAUAAUUUUAAUGUAUGAAUUUUUCAAAAGUAAAAAAUCAAUCGCAUCUUAAAGGUAUAAGGGAUCGUAUCCAAUCGUACUGGGUAUGAAACUGCAUAUCUUUGAAACGAGAGAUUUUUGACCGCUAAUUUGAGCUAUUCAAACAUUUUUUUUAAAAAAUCAUACUUCAGAAAAUCUUUUCUUUUAAAACUUUUGAUAUAAGGACAACAUCAAAUCAAUUUGGUACCAAUUCUUGGGCGUAAUGAGGGUGCUAACCCUUCCUCAUGCGUAACCGACUCCCGAACCCAUUUUUUUAUUUUACAUGAACCAAAUUUAUUUUUCAUUUAAUAAAGCGUUUUAGUAGGUGAUCCAAUCACGCCUAAAUCAAGAGAUUGGUGGCGACUUCACAUUUUUGUUUUCAAAAGUCGAUCCCCAUUGCUUUCAAAAUAAAAAGGGUUUCGAUAACGGCCUAGCCCAUGAAAUCGCUCAUGGUGGCCUCCACGACCAAACACCCAUGUUUAUGCGUUCACACUACCACGCGAGCGAGCGCACAUUCGUGUGGCAGCGACAGUCUCUUAUUUUAGCUUUCGCCGUUUUACAAGUAGGGUAGUGUUUUUACACAUCUGAUGUGAUUUGAAGAUAACCGCAUUCCAAAUAUUCCUAUACCUGAAUUCAUUCAAAAGGACAUUUACUCAGUUGCAUAUUUCAUAGAACAAAUGGAACUUAAAGGAGUUCCUAAGCGAUCCAAAUAGUUACUUCUCCUUACCAAAAGCCAAUCAAAAUCGCACCCUUGAUUCCUAGGAGGCACACCAAUCAACUUGAUCUCUACCGACACGAAGGUCAUAACCCCUUUAUUAAACCUGUACUUGGAUAAAACAAUCUUGACUAAUCCCUACUUACCAAUUAACAACAGUACAGAGUAUAAUUCGGUGAUGUAGUGAACUAAGGCCAAAGAGAAACUGAACUAAAAUAGUAAGCAGAGGGGGUAACAAUAGGAAGGAAAAAGAAAUAGUGCUCAGGAAUGAGAGAAGUCAAAAGGGGCAGAAGUGAAACAGAAACUUACUUACCAAUAUUUGACCAAGGAUAAGCACUAGGGAGAAAGAAUGAGGAGAAUCGUGCGCCUGAACCCAAUCGAUCGAAGAAUGGUUGCCAAGAGGGAUUGCCCAAAGCCGAAAGACGAGAAAGGGGAGAAGAGAAAUAUUCGGCCAACACACAAGGGGUAUUCGAUCAAACAAAGAUAAGAUAAAGAGAAGGGCAAUAAAGGGGAAAGAACAAUUGCAAAAGGAGUAAGGGAGAAGAGAAAAACCGAAAUAGGCCUAAAAUGCAAGAUACCUUAGAGGUCAGUAGCAGUAUUCGGCUAUCAAAACAAAAUGUAAAAAGAACCUGAAGGCAAUCGUCAAAAACUGAAAAUGAGAAGAGCAAUCUAGCCAAGGCCGAAUUCUGAAUGAUAGAGUUCAAAUUCAGCACUACCUUCCUUUGAUCCAUUCCUUGAAAAUCGCCUUACAUUACUCUACCCACUAAUUUGAACUCCACACAACCUCUUCUAUCUAAAUUUUCCUCCCCAAAACACUCCCCAAAUCCCCCUAACAACCGAAAUUCCACAAUAAUCUUCCAAAAUUUUGCCACAACUCCUCACACUCUUCAAACACACAAGUUUCGGUCAAACUAGAACUCUCCCAUGGCCAACAAUAAAAUAAAACACCUCCAUGCGCCUACCAGUAUUCGAACCUCAGACCUUAAGUAACUACCACACGCCACUUAUCCCCUAAACCAGCAGGGCCAUUCUGUCAUGUUUUUCCCACAUUAAUUUAUAAGCCUAUUGACUAGAGACAGGGAUUAUUCAACUAAAAAAAAAUUUGCACAAUCCAAGGCUUGAACUCAGGACUUCUCCAACACUUCUCAGGACACUUAACCACUGAGGCAAACACUCAUUUGUAUCACUUUAUUGCACAACUAAACAUUUUUCUACAACCUCCUAACUGUUUCCAUGCUCGAGGCCUAAUACUUCCAAGCCCAAAAUUUGAGGCGUUACAAUUUCAUGAAAAUUUCAUUCAAAAAUUUUGACGUUUGGGCACUCAAUUUGGUGAAAAGGAUUAAAUUGUAAAAAGUGUAAAACUUGAGUUCUAGAAGCUAAAGGUGUCUAGUUGCUAUGAAAUUUUAAAUUGGAGGUCCUUAUAUGGCAAUUAGACCAUUGGUUAAUUUUUUAGACAAAAAUGGACAUGAAAUAGGUGAAAUAGAAUUUUUUAAGUUAGGGGCAUUUUGGUCAUUUGGUAAUUAAAAUAAUAAAAAGGGAAAAUAAAAGCCAAAUUUAUGCUCAUCUUCAACCUUUGGUUGAAAUUUGCAUGGAAUCCAUGGCUAGGGUUUUGUUCAAGCUUUCCAAGCUUAAUAGUAAGUCCUUCCUUGCCCCAUUUUUAAUGAUUUUUACGUUUUUGAAAUCCUCGUAACAAGAUCUAGCUAUUUCUACCAUUUAUUUAAGCUAGAUUUGAUGUUUGAAAAUUUACCCAUGUGCUACAUGGGUGUAUUUUGAUAUUUAAGGUAGGAAUAUGAAUGUUUUUUGUGUGUUAAAUGACUUUUACUGAGUAGUUUUCAGUGAAAACGCUAAAAAGGAUUAAAUUGUAAAAGUUAUAAAAUUUGUCAAAAAAGUGUGAUUUAGUGGAAAUUGUGGGCUGCUAUAGUUAUGAAAAUGAUUCAGCUAGGCUUAAAGUACAAAUAAAUUGAAUAAAUUUCAUUUUACGAGCCUAGGGGCUAAAUUGCAAAUAUGUGAAAGUUUAGGGGUAAAAAUGUAAAUUUGUAAAAGUAUGGUUUUUGGGUCAAUUUGAUUAAUUUGAGUAAUAAAUAAGUUAUAUUUGAAAUGUUAGAUCAAGAAAACUGAGAUUCAGGCUUAAAUUGGGAAAGUACGAGAUUAUGGACUAAAAUGGAAUAAUUAGCUGUGCUCGGAUUCGAGGUAAGUUUGUAUGAUAAUAAUAAUAAUUCAAUGUUAUGUUUGAAUUAUAUUCCUUACUAUUAUUGCAUAUAUUGUAUGAUUUAAUAUAUUGGAAAAGUUGAUGGAAUGGUGUAUAUGAUGUGGAAAUAUGACAUGGAAAAAUAUUAUAUGAAAAUGCAAGAAAAUGAUGAUACAUGACAAGUGAUAUAUGAAAUAUAUGAUAUAUGUUAUGUAAAUUCUUAAAUGCUUAUUUGCUAUUUGAGUUAUGUCUUAUUAUGCUAUGAAUGGGCAAUUGGUACUAUGGAUAGUGGGAUCGACACUUCAAGUAAGUUCGACAGAGAUGUGGUAUCAAAAAAUCUUGUUUGAACCUUAGGAAUAGUCUAGGAUACAAGUGACAUGUCACUAGGAAUAUAGAAAUCCGAACUCGUUGAGUUGGUCCGGGCUCGUGAUAUGUAUGAGACAUCUAAGCUCAUUGAGUUGGUCCGAGUUCAUUAUGGAUGCAAUACAUGUAAUUGGGUUCCGAGCAAUGGUCUUGUGUGUCCUACUGGUGGCUAGGUAAUCCUUGAGUUGGUCGGAUACCUGACAGCUUAUGUGAGCAGCCCAUGUAGCUACACCUUGACUGAUAGCUUUUAUGAGCAAGCCCGUGAGUAGUUCCAUUGCGAGCGUUACUGUUAUGAGGUAGGUUUGGCUACGUAUGUUUAUGUGGAACUUAUGUGCAAGUUUUCGCAUAUCCAAUAAUAUUCUGGGUGUUCAACGGGUAAUGCAAUGGAUAAUGUGAUGAAAGACCCAAGGAGGGCAUGUUAAAGAAGGUAUGGUUAUGUGAUAUACUAUGAGUGAGAACAUGUAACAGCCCGAUUUAAAUAGCCUGAUUUAGACCCUAAUCGGAACGGUGGUUUCGGGACCACAAAUCCGAGUCAGAAAAAUAUUUAAAAAUUAUUUUCUAUGUUUAUUUUGUGUGCAUUUAUAUCUAUGAAAUUUUUGUGAUUUAAUUUUGUCGUUUAGGUGUCCGAUUAAAUAAAAGGACUUAAUCGCGUAAAUUAAAAAUUUGAUAGUUAAAAGCAUAAAGGGCUAAAUUGAUAAUGGCUUAUUAAAUGAAAGACUUUAAGUUGUAAAUUACCCAUUUCCAUAAUAAGUGGAUGGUAAAAGACAGGGAUUAUAUAGUUUAUUAUUAUUUCAUUAAGGUUAUUUAAGUAAUUUAUUUAAUAAACAUUUAAUAGUUAAAAUAAAGUUAUGAAAUUCAUUACAUUCAUUUUGUUCUUUGACCGAAACUUAAGAAAAGAAAAGAAGAAAGAAUAAAAGCUAGGGCUCGGCUUAUUUGGAGCUCCAUCAAGGUUCAUUUUCUUGUCGAUUUUUGACAAUUUCUUCGUUUUUGAGAUCGUUGCUUAGCAAUCUUCAAAACCCAAGCUUUAAUUUUUGAUUUUGAUGAAUAUUUUGAGUUGUGCCAUUGUUGAUAGCUUGUGAUUUUUUUUUUGUUUGAUGAUGAAAAAUGAAAGAUAUGUUUCAGAUUAACAUAUUUUGUAUUGGAGUUUUUGAUGAUUUUGAGUAAUUAGGACUUAAUAGCAAAAAUAAUAAUUUGAGGGACUAAAAUGUGAAAUUUAUAAAAUAUGUGGACUUGUAUGAGCAUGGGGGCUAUUCAGCCUAACAUGGGUGCUGUGAAAUUUUGUGUAUUUUAUGUUUUGUGCAAUAGACUAAAUUGUAAAAAUUGUAAAUGUUAGGGGUAAAAUAGUAAUUUUCCUAUUUAUGUGUUUUUUGAGCUAAAUUGAAUGAAAAUAUGUUUGAAUGAGCUUAAUUUGAAUAUGUUUAGAUCAAGAACCAAAGAAAUCGAAUUUGGACCGGGGAAAAACGAAAGUUGUCGACUAGCAGCCCCGUCCUAUUUUACGAUGUCCGAGGUAAGUUUAUAAGCAAAUAGACGUGUUUAUUGAUAACUUUAACGUUAUGUUUACAUCCUGUUAAGAAAUGUUAAGUUAAAAUUAUGGUAUGAUCGAAUGUGAUUGAAUAUGGUUGCCACACUUCCAAGAGCUAUUCGACUGAAAUACGACAUCCGAAAGCCCCGUACGAACCUUAGGAAUAGCUAGGAUACAUAUUUCAUGACAUAGAAUUCCAAUAUAUGUGUGCAAGUAAGAGCAUGGCAUCGAUUUGUGGUUUCUGAUAUGUGUUUACGAGUAAGACCCUGUCCAGGAUAGUGGCAUCGUUUUGUGGCUAAAUGUAAGACCACGUCUCAGACGUUGGCAUUGUACGAUUUAUGUGAUUAUCCGAGUGUCUUAUCCAAUUCCGAAUGGUUCAUCGGGCAAGGGUAAUCAUGUACAGAUUGUAUGAUAUGAGCUAAUGGCCAGGUAUGAGUUAGUUCGAUAAUUAACAAAAAUAAGGUAAAUGUAUUUGGCCUAUUGCACAUUAUUGAAUAAAUGUAAAUUUAGUAUAUGUGUAUUUAUGAGUAUUCGGUCAUGUGACUAAUAUAAGUACUUGAGACUAUAUUAUAAUCUAUGAGUUUAUGUAUGUAUGGGUAUGUGAACUAAGAACUUAGUGGAUAUUCGACCUUGAAAGCUAAAUAAUGAUUUGUAACUUUUGAUCAUACAAGCAUUCAGGUAAAGUGAUGAUUUAACUAUGUAUAAAAUGCAUAUGAUUAUAUAUAAGUAACAUGGAUGUAUUCGUUCCUAGAAGCGAAUGUAAAUUGAUGUAAUAAUUCUAGUAUAAAUUAGUUAAGCCGAAUAAAUCAUUGAGUAGUUGAUUUGCUUAUGACUUACUAAGCUUUGAGAGCUUAUUCCUUGUGUUUUGUCUACUUUGUUUUAUAGAUUUUGAAGUCAAGCUACAACCUCGGGAGCAGUCAGCCAAGUUCAUCACACUAUCUACUGUUUUGGUACCUUCAAACUAAAUUUAAGUUAUGGCAUGUAUAGGCUGGUUUUGGAGUUUGUUAUUUUGGAAAUGAAUGUAUAUUUAAGCUAUGCGAAAAUGGAUAAAUUUUUAAGUAUAUUUAAGCUAUGCAAAAAUGGAUAAAUUUUUAAGUUAGUCUUGAAUGUGGUUUGGUUGUGGUUAUUGCUCUCUAUAUGAAUUCGAUUAUGCAUGAUCAUGGAAUGAGCUCAUUAAGGUUAACAUGCUGUUAGUGAAUUAAGUUUAAUUAAGAUUAUGUGUGUUUUGUGCAUCGCAAUAAUUGAUGAAUUGGGCAGCAUCUUUGGUUAAUCCGAUUAUAGUUUUUGUGUGAGUAUAAACAUAUAUAUGGAAGCGGUAGUUAUAUUUUGUUAAGGUGUUGUUAUAUGUAUUGGUACAGGGAAUAUUCGGCUAUGUCUUAUUGUGAAUUGGAUUGAUUUUGUUACAGGUUUUAUAUGAUAUGUAUGGUUGCUUGGCAUGGCUCAUUAAUGAUUUAUAUUUUGAUAAAUCGUUUGUCAUAUGAGUUGAAUUAAAAAUAAUGUCUUGGUUGAUUUAUAUUCGGCCUUGAUACUUAAAAUGUCUUGGGUACUUUGUUAUAUGUUUAUGAGGUGAUUAUAAUGGAUAAUGUACAUGCGUGGUCGGUUAUAAGACAAGAGUGAAUGAGAUGGUUGUAACCAACUUAAUUAUAGGUAUAAGUUUAUGUAUUUAUUUGCGCAUAGGAUGGAUUAACUUAUCCAUGAUAUGGUAGUUGUUUGUACUAUUACAUUGGGUAAAUAAUGCAGUCAGAAGUAUGCAUGAAUGUAAUAAUAUGAAGCCUAUGUGAAUUUUGAUUGCCAUAUCGACAUUAUAGGGUGUAUAUUUUUACCAUGCGAGUUGGCUUGAAUUUCGUAAUAAAAAGUGCAUUUAUAUUCGACUAGGAAAGGAAGAAACAUACACACAUGCAGUGAUAUAACGUUUGUGGUUCGGUGAUUAAGUGUUUAUAUAUGUAUGCAUAUUUGAAUGGGUGAAUUUACCUAUAUUAAUGCAUGAAACAUGUAAACUCAUGCCAACUAUGAAAUCAUGCUGCAUAAAUGAUAUAUAUAUUGGAAAUUUGUAUUGUCCAACAUGUAAACUAGCACUUAUGCAAUUCUUUUAUAUUAAAAGGAUAUAAUAGGUCUGAUGUUUAAUUAAUAAAAUUGUUGGUUAGUUAUUUAUAUUCCUAUAAAUAAAUAGUUUGCUUUGACAUAUAUUGGAUUAUGUUUUAAUUAUGUUGUAAUAUGAUCAAUAUGAUUUUAAGUCUGAUAACAGAUUAAGAUAUGAAUAAUAAUGUUAUUUUGGAUUUUGAAUUGAAAUUUGUGAUGUAUGAUUAUAUGAACUGUGAUACGAUUGGUAAUGCCUCAUAGCUCUACUCCGACAACGGAUAUGGGUUAGGGAUGUUACAUUUUAUUGGUAUCGGAGCCACAGUUUAGUCGGUUCUAGGACUACGUAAUGUGUGUGAGAUUAGCUAUACAUGCCAUAAUUAUAUACUAUGAUAGUGUGAUGACUUCUGACAUUUGAAAUGUGUUUUCAUAUAGUAAAUGGAUCCCGACAGAGUGGUAGCUGAUGAUGUCGAGAGUGUAGUGCCUGCUCUCGCGCAAGGGAUAGCGCAGGCUGAUUCUCGACUGACUUCGAGUAAUCCAAAAAGUGAGGCUAAACAAACCUUCUAUCAAAUGAUGAAUGACUGGUUCACUCAAUAUAUUCGGACUAACCCGGCUGCACAACAACCUCUACCCCCGACUCAUCCAUCUUUCGUCCUGCUGUACCUUAAGUAAGUGAUCCAUUGCGAUUGAGUAGACCACCUGUUGAUAAAAUCAGAAAACAUGCAGCUGAAGAGUUCAAAGCCGCUGUUGAUGAUGAUGCUGAGUCGGCUGAGUUCUGGCUUGAUAAUACCAUCCGUGUGUUUGAUGAGUGUAACGCCCCAAAAAUCUUGAAACCCAAAAAUCCCAAAAUAUCAAAAUUUUCUUUUUUUUUUGUGCUUAGCAUUUCCGGUUAAGUGCUAAUUAUAUGAUGGUAGAUCUUGGUCAAGGUUUGAGUUCAAAACUAGGGGUGAAAGAAAUUAUAGUUUAAUUAUUAAAAUUAUUAAAAGAACCCUGAUGGCAAGUAGGUGGGCUUUUAAAUAAAUGAAGGGAAAGUUGGACAGAAAAGACCCUACUGGCCCAGGGGAUAAGUGGCGUGUGGCUAGUGUUAGAGGUAUGGGGUUCAAAUCCCACUUUGCUCAAAUAAGGGAUUUAUUUUUGCUUAAAGGGUGGAUAGAGGUGGCAUUGGAUUUAAACUCUGUAGGGAGUGAUAAGAGGAGAAAUUUGAAGAAAGGAUCAAGGGGUUAUCAGGGAGAAAAACGAGGAGAUGAGAAGUGAAGAAGAGGUGGAGCUGAAUUGGGAACUUGGGCUUGAGAAAUUUGGCUAUAGGGGCUAUAAAUAGGUUUCGAAUGGGAGGUGGCUAGGCUAAUGCCGAAUUCCCUUCACCUUGUUGCCAAAAACCCUUUUCCCUAAAAGCCGAAAACCCUUUGCUUUACUUUCUUUUCUUUGUGCCGAUUUCCAUCCUUCCUCUACACAAUUUUCUUUGUUUCACUUGUGGUUUAGUCGACUUCUUCUCGCUUCUUCCCUUAGUAUCGAAUAGUCUUUUGUUGCCAUACAAAUCUCAAUGGGCCAAACACCUCUUUGGCUGAAUACCAUUGGUGCCGCCACUACCCUUUCCUCUCAGUCGAUUCUAGUGUAAGUGUUCGCUCUUCUAAUCGGUUUGUUUUGCUAAGUAUCAAUUAUUGUCCCUCACUUCUUCUAAUCGGUUUUGGGUAGGAAUAGGUAUCGAAUCCCAGUAUUUGGAUCUCUAUUGAUUUGCUCUUCAAGAGAGAGACCUUGGUAAGUGUUCUUGAUCUUAGUUGGUCGAAUGGUCAUAGUUAAGGUAAAGGGGACUUGUGUUGGAUACAAGUCACCUGUUAUUUUGGUGUUAAUAGUUAAGAUUGGUGCAGAUUUAGGAGUUGAUCGUGGUUAGUGCUUAAAGUAGAGGUUGUUAUAACUUGUCGCGCAAUGUAAGAUGGAAGGUGAGGUUUCGGUUUUGGUAAAGAUAUGUAUUAAGCAUGCGAUUAAUUGAAGAGUGAUAUCGAUUGUAGGUUCGAGGCUAAGGAAAUCACAGCGCAUUCUAUUACCAGGUGUGUACAUACACUGCACACACAAGUAGAUCGAAAAAUCCCGAAAAGCCGAAAUGCCGAAAUGCCGAAAGUUUGGCUACGGUAGUCUUGCGAGUGCGCGAACACUCGCAAGGAGGAAACUGAUAGGUUUCCUAAGGCCCACGGGCGAUUCCAUGGACUUGGGUUGUAAAUUGGCCAAACGGGACAGAAUGGGCUAAAUGGGCCCGAUAGGCUGUUGGGCCCAUAAUUGGCAAAAAUUGAUGAUUGAUGCUAUGUGAAGAAAAAUUGUAUGUCAGCAUGACUGUAAAUGUGAUUUGGGCCUAGUGGCCAUAUGAAUGUGAUUGGGCCUAAUGGGCCAUAUAAAUGUGAAUGGGCCUAAUGGGCCAUUUGAAAGAGAUUGGGCCUAGUGGACCACAUAUAUAUAUAGGUAUGUGGAUUUGUCUGGGCUUUGUAAGAGGUUGUAGGCCUAGUAUAUGAUGACUGCAUAAAACUUAAUUAAUUUAUUAAGGACCGUGGACAAGUCAUAGGGUUAAGGUGUGGCAACAGGUAUGUGCAUGUCUAGGAUUGGAUCUAGGGAGAGCUUGGUACUUAAGCGGUCUUAAUGACCCACCUCCUCUUCUCUAGAAUCCUACCUGGUGCGUAGUAUUCAUUCAUCUUAGCUCCCGGGAUUUGUUAACGGGCCAAGGUAAGUAAGACCCUUAAUAAAGAAAAACUACCCAAAAUGCCCGUAAGGGCGAAAAUGACCAAAACACCCUUAAGUGUUGAAUGUAAGAUUUAUGGAUGUUACAUGUAUAACUACUGCAUACAUACGAUAUUCCGUUUAGGUUGCAUAGGGUUGGGAAUUAUGGAACGGAGGAAGUAUGUAAGGGUCGUAUGGCUGCUUGACAAUCGAGCUACCAUUGGAGUGUAUCAGAUGGAUGGGUUGAUAUUUAUAUCCCCACAUGGUGUGUACCGAGGGAUGGAGUUGGUGUGUAGCGGAUGGAUUAUUAGGGUGGGUUGCACUGCAUUGCAUGUAUGAUUUUAUGAUGAAUGACGAAUGCUUAUUACUUGUUGAGGGUUGUACACACUGAGUUUGCGAAAACUCACCCCCUCUUUUAUUUUUCUCAGGUGAUGCUCAGUAGGAGUUCGAUGUUUGGAGGGACUUUGGGUGGCCAGCUAGCAAGACAAUUUAGAUUCAUUUUAAAAGUAUUUAAGUUACUCGUUUAUUAAGUAAUUUUCAUUUAGUAUGGAUUGUAAUAAGGCCUCCCCCUUUUUAUUAUUGUUUGGUUAUUUAAAUUCGUGCAUUGUAGUUAUAAGAAGUGGAACAUGGAUUUUCUAAGCUAUAGUUUUCUUUUAAUACUAUGUUUCCGCAAUUAAAGUUUUAAAGGAUAAGUUUUCUUAAGUCAUAUGUUUUAAAAAAAGCUUUGCAAUAGGAAGGAGAUUUUACUAAGUAAUUGAGAUGUAACUUUUGAGGAAGGGUUUUCAAUGAAAAUAAGGUUUUCGCUAAAACACUUCAAUGUGACACGCCAGAUUCGGCCAUAACGUCUGGGCCGGGUUUGAAGUGUUACAAUGAGUUGUCCUGUACUCCAGAUGAAUAUUUAAAAUGUGCUAUAUCCUUGCUCCGAGACACAGCAUACCACUGGUGGAAUACCCUAGUAUCAAUAGUUCUGAGAGAGCAGGUGACUUGGGAAUUCUCUCAAACUAAGUUCUGUAAGAAAUAUAUUAGUCAGAGAUUUAUCGACCAGAAGCGUAUAGAAUUUCUAGAGCUAAAACAGGGUAGGAUGACAGUGACGGGGUAUGAGCGGAAAUUCGUAAGACUCAUCCAAUAUGCCCAAGAGUGUGUUUCUACUGAAGCCAUAAUGUGUAAAAGAUUUGAAGAUGGGCUGAAUGAAGAUAUCAAACUAUUGGUUGGCAUACUUGAGAUAAAAGAGUUUGUGGUACUUGUUGAGCGAGCCUGAAAAGCUGAAGAGCUCGGGAAAGAGAAAAGAAAAGCUGACUUUGAAGCUAGAGAUGUACGUAAAAGAACAUCCGGUAAGUCAUUCCAGUCGGCAUCAAAGAAGUUUCGAGAUGAUUUUAGCCGUUCUAAAACCACUUCAGGUUCCUCUAGGCGGGAUCAGAAUAGACCACCAGUGAGCUCGAAAGCUACCUCAGUAGCGAGUGUGGGUAAUGUCAGAUCAAAUCAAACCGAGUGCAAGCAAUGUGGUAAACGACAUCUCGAAAGUUGUAGGUUGCAUGAUCCGGCCUGUUUUAAAUGUGGAUUGACAGAUCAUUAUAUUCGAGACUGCCCAACGUUAGCUGAGGAAAAUCCAGUGUAGAAUACAAGAUCGGGUAACACUGCAACUCGAGGUAGACAACCCAGAAAUGCUGGUAAUACGAGUGGAAGUCAGAGAGGGACUAAAGAUACAGCAAUUAGAUCUAAGGCUCGUGCACCUGCCAGAGCUUAUGCUAUACGUGCACGAGAGGAGGCUUCAUCCCCCGAUGUUAUUACUGGUACAUUUACUCUUUAUGAUACUAAUGUAAUUGCAUUGAUUGAUCCUGGUCCUACUCAUUCUUAUGUAUGUGAGACAUUAGUAUUCAGCAAAACUCUACCUGUUGAGUCUAUUGAGUUUGUGAUUAGAGUGUCAAACCCCUUGGGCCGGUGUGUUAUGGUUGAUAAAGUGUGUAAGAAUUGUCCCUUGAUGGUUCAAGAUUUUUGCUUUCCGACUGAUUUGAUGUUGCUACCAUUUGAUGAGUUCGAUAUAAUUCUGGGUAUGGAUUGGUUGACUUUACAUGAUGCUGUUGUGAACUACAAAAGGAAGACCAUUGAUCUUCGGAGCCAGAAUGAUGAAGUUAUUCGGAUUGAAUCUAAUGAUUUGUAUGGGUUACCAGCAGUGAUUUCUUCGAUGCUAGCUCAGAAAUAUGUAAGGAAAGGGUGUGAAGCUUGUUUUGCUUAUGUGCUCAACAGUAAAGCGACUGAAAGAAAUAUUGAAUCAGUACCUGUUGUAUAUGACUAUAUGGAUGUGUUUCUAGAAGAAUUACCGGGACUGCCACCUUUUCGGGAAGUAGAGUUUGGUAUUGAGUUAAUGCCUAGGAUGACUCCGAUAUCCAUAGCUCUGUACCGAAUGGCUCCUACAGAAUUAAAAGAAUUGAAAGCACAGUUGCAAGAAUUGACAGAUAGAGGUUUCGCGCGACCGAGUUUCUCUCCGUGGGGUGCACCUGUGUUGUUUGUGAAAAGGAAAAAUGGAACUAUGAGAAUGUGCAUUGAUUACAGCCAGCUUAAUAAGGUGACUAUAAAGAAUAAGUAUCCGUUACCACGGAUUGAUGAUCUGUUUGACCAACUGAAAGGGGCUACAGUAUUUUCGAAGAUAGAUUUGAGACCAGGCUAUUAUCAGUUGCGAGUUAAAGAUUCAGAUGUGCCAAAGACUGCCUUCAGAACAAGAUACGGACACUAUGAGUUUUUGGUUAUGCCUUUCAGACUCACUAAUGCACCUGCUAUUUUCAUGGACUUGAUGAAUCGGAUCUUCAGACCGUAUCUGGACCGGUUUGUGGUUGUGUUUAUAGAUGACAUUUUGAUCUACUCUCGUGAUGAAGCUGAAUAUAUUGAACAUUUGAGACUUGUGCUGCAGACCUUACGAGAUAAGCAGUUAUAUGCGAAAUUCGGUAAAUGUAAGUUCUAGUUAAAUGAAGUCAGUUUUCUGGGCCAUUAGUAUUAGCAUCAGGUAUCCGGGUCGAUCCGAGCAAAAUUUCAGCCAUACUAGAUUGGAAACCUCCGAAGAAUGUUUUUGAAGCCCGAAGCUUUCUGGGACUUGCUGGUUAUUAUAGACAGUUUGUGAAAGGUUUCUCUAUGAUUGCAGCUCUGAUAACAAAGCUAUUGCAGAAAGAUGUUAAGUUCGAGUGGUCAGAGAAGUGUCAACAAAGUUUUAAUCAGUUGAAGGCUUUUCUAACAGAAACUCCAAUGCUAGUUCAGCCGAAAUCUAGCAAAGAAUUUGUUAUUUAUAGUGAUGCAUCAUUAAAUGGUUUGGGUUGUGUCCUGAUGUAGGAAGGCAGAGUGAUAGUGUAUGCCUCGAGACAAGUAAAGCCACAUGAAAGGAACUAUCUGAAACACGACCUAGAAUUGCCAGCCAUUAUGUUCGCAUUGAAGAUUUGGCGUCAUUAUCUGUUCGGUGAGAAAUGUCAUGUUUAUUCUGAUUAUAAAAGCCUGAAAUAUUUGAUGACUCAGAAAUAUCUGAAUUUGAAACAACGUCGAUGGUUAGAACUGAUAAAAGACUACGAGCUUGUGAUUGACUAUCAUCCGGGAAAAGCUAACGUUGUUGUUGAUGCCUUAAGCCAAAAAUCACUGUUUGCUUUACGUGCAAUGAAUACGCAUAUGGAUAUGUUUGAUGAUGGUUCGAUAGUACCUGAAUUGAAAGCUAGACCAUUAUUUCUUCAACAAAUAUGUGAUGCCCAGAAGAUUGAUAAUGAAUUGAUUGCAAAACGAGCUCAGGUGAGACAGAUGCUGAUUCAGAGUUCAGAGUUGAUGCUGAUGACUGUUUAAGGUUCAAAGACUGAAUAUACAUUCCGAGAAAUUCAGAGUUGAUUUAGAUGAUUUUGAAUGAAGCUCAUAGCAAUCGAUUAUCUAUUCACCCAGGUAGUACAAAGAUGUACAAUGAGCUAAAACAACUUUACUGGUGGCAUGGUAUGAAACGAGACAUUUCUGACUUUGUUGCAAGAUGUUUAGUUUGUCAACAAGUAAAAGCUGAACAUCAGGUGCCUUCAGGACUACUUCAGCCUAUCAUGAUACUUGAGUGGAAAUGGGAUAGAAUUACGAUGGAUUUUGUAUUUGGUUUACCGGUGACACCGAGCAAGAAAGAUGCAAUCUGGGUUGUUGUUGAUAGAUUGACUAAAUUGGCUCAUUUUGUUCUGAUACGUACAGAUUACUCACUAGAUAAGUUAGCUGAAUUGUAUGUCUCUCAGAUUGUGAGAUUACAUGGUGUGCCUAUAUCUAUUGUCUCGGAUAGAAAUCCGAGGUUUACAUAGCAGUUUUGGAAGAAACUGCAAGAUGCACUAGGUACAAAAUUACAUUUUAGUACUGCUUUCUAUCCGCAAACAGAUGGCCAGUCUGAAUGAAUAUUCAGAUACUUGAGGAUAUGUUGAGAUGUGGCAUUCUCGAGUUCAAAGGUACGUGGGAACGAUACCUGCCUCUGAUUAAAUUUGCAUAUAAUAACAGUUAUCAAUCGAGUAUCAAAAUGGCACCUUAUGAGGCUUUGUAUGGACAUAAAUGUCGUACGCCGUUGUACUGGACUGAGCUCAGUGACAAUAAGAUACACGGAGUUGAUUUGAUCAGAGAAACUGAACAGAAAGUGAAAGUGAUCCGUGAAAGUUUAAAAGCAGCAUCAGAUCGUCAAAAAUCUUAUGCGGACUUGAAACAUAAAGAUAUAGAGUUUCAAAUUGGAGACAAAGUCUUCUUGAAAGUAUCACCGUGGAAGAAAAUACUUAGAUUCGGCUGUAAAGGCAAAUUGAGUCUGAGGUUUAUUGGGCCAUAUGAAGUUAUAGAGCGUAUCGUACCAGUUGCUUAUAGACUAUUGUUGCCACCAGAGUUAGAAAAGAUCCACAAUGUAUUCCACGUUUUGAUGCUUUGAAGGUAUCGAUCUGAUCCUUCACAUGUGAUUAGUCCGUUUGAGAUUGAAAUUCAACAUGAUAUGACCUAUGAGGAAGAACCGAUUCACAUUCUGACUCUUGAAAUUAAAGAGUUGGGAAAUAAAAAGAUUUCGUUAGUUAAAGUACUGUGGCAUAAACACGGUGUUGAAGAAGCAACAUGGGAACCAGAGGAUGCAAUGAAAGAACGCUAUCCGAACCUACUCACUGGUAAGAUUUCGGGGACGAAAAUCCCUAAGGGGGGAGAGUUGUAACAGCCCGAUUUAGACCCUAAUCGGAACGGUGGUUUCGGGACCACGAAUUUGAGUCAGAAAAAUAUCUAAAAAUUAUUUUAUGUGUUUAUUUUGUGUGAAUUUAUAUAUGUGAAAUUUUCGUGAUUUAAUUUUGUCGUUCAGGUGUCCCAUUAAAUAAAAGGACUUAUCGCGUAAAUUAAAAAUUUGAUAGUUAAAAGCAUAAAGGGCUAAAUUGAUAAUGGCUUAUUAAAUGGAAGACUUUAAGUUGUAAAUUACCCAUUGCCAUAAUAAGUGGACGGUAAAAGACAUGGAUUAUAUAGUUUAUUAUUAUUUCAUUAAGGUUAUUUAAGUAAUUUAUUUAAUAAACAUAUAAUAGUUAAAAUAAAGUUAUGAAAUUAAUUACAUUCAUUUUGUUCUUUGACCGAAACUUAAGAAAAUAAAAGAAGAAAGAAUAAAAGCUAGGGUUCAGCUUAUUUGGAGCUCAAUCAAGGUUCAUUUUCUUGUCGAUUUUUGAUAAUUUCUACGUUUUUGAGAUCGUUGCUUAGUAAUCUUCAAAACCCAAGCUUUAAUUUUUUUUAUUUUGAUGAAUAUUUUGAGUUGUUCCAUUAUUGAUAGCUUGUGAUUUUUGUUGUUUGAUGAUGAAAAAUGAAAGAUAUGUUUUAGAUUAACAUAUUUUGUAUUGGAGUUUUUGAUGAUUUUGAGUAAUUAGGACUUAAUUGAAAAAAUAAUAAUUUGAGGGACUAAAAUGUGAAAUUGAUAAAAUAUGUGGACUUGCAUGAGCAUGUGGGCUAUUCGGCCUAACAUGGGUGUUGUGAAAUUUUGUGUAUUUUUUGUUUUGUGUAAUAUGGACUAAAUUGUAAAAAUUGUAAAUGUUAGGGGUAAAAUGGUAAUUUGCCUAUUUAUGUGUUUUUGGGCUAAAUUGAAUGAAAAUAUGUUUAAAUGAGCUUAAUUUGAAUAUGUUUAGAUCAAGAACCAAAGAAAUCAGAUUUGGACCGGAGAAAAACAAAAGUUAUCGACUAGCAGCCCAGUCCCGUUUUACGAUGUCUGAGGUAAGUUUAUAAGCAAAUAGACGUGUUUAUUGAUAACUUUAACGUUAUGUUUUCUUAAGUUAAAAUUAUGGUAUGGCUGAAUGUGAUUGAAUAUGGUUACCACACUUUCGAGUGCGAUUCGACUGAAAUACGACGUCCGAAAGCCCCGUAUGAACCUUAAGAAUAGAUAGGAUACAUAUGUCAUGAUAUAGGAUUCCGAUAUAUGUGUGUAAGUAAGACCAUGGCAUCGAUUUGUGGUUUUCGAUAUGUGUUUACAAGUAAGACCCUGUUCGGGACAAUGGCAUCGUUUUGUGGCUACAUGUAAGCCCACGUCUGGGACGUUGGCGUUGUAUGAUUUAUGUGAUUAUCCGAGUGUCCUAUCCAAUUCUGAAUGGUUCAUUGGGGAAAGGUAAUCGUGUACAGAUUGUAUGAUAUGAGCUAAUGGCCAGGUAUGAGUUAGUUCGAUAAUUAACAAAAAUAAGGUAAGUGUAUUCGGCCUAUUGCACAUUAUUGAAUAAAUGUAAAUUUAGUAUAUGUGUAUUUAUGAGUAUUCGAUCAUGUGACUAAUAUAAGUACUUGAGACUAUAUUAUAAUCUAUGAGUUUAUGUAUGAAUGGUUAUGUGAACUAAGAACUUAGUGGAUAUUCGGCCUUGAAAGCUAAAUAAUGAUUUGUAACUUUUGAUCAUACAAGCAUUAGGGUAAAGUGAUGAUUUAACUGUGUAUAAAUGCAUAUGAUUAUAUAUAAGUAACAUGGAUGUAUUUGUGCCUAGAAUCGAAUGUAAAUUGAUGUAAUAAUUUUAGUAUAAAUUAGUUAAGUCGAAUAAAUCAUUGAGUAAUUGAUUUGCUUAUGACUUACUAAGCUUUGAGAGCUUAUUCCUUGUGUUUUAUCUACUUUGUUUUAUAGAUUUUGAAGUCAAGCUACAAGCUCGGGAGCAGUCAGCCAAGUUCAUCACACUAUCUACUGUUUUGGUACCUUCAAACUAAAUUUAAGUUAUGGCAUGCAUAGGCUGGUUUUGGAGUUAGUUAUUUUGGAAAUGAAUGUAUAUUUAAGCCAUGCGAAAAUGGCUAAAUUUUUAAGUUAGUCUUGAAUGUGUUUUGGUUGUGGUUAUUGCUCUCUAUAUGAAUUCAGUUAUGCAUGAUCAUGGAAUGAGCUCAUUAGGGUUAACAUGCUGUUAGUGAAUUAAGUUUAAUUAAGAUUAUGUGUGUUUUGUGCAUCACAAUAAUUGAUGAAUUGGGCAGCAUCUUUAGUUAUUCCGAUUAUAGUUUUUGCGUGAGUACAAACAUAUAUAUGGAAGCGGUAGUUAUAAUUUGUUAAGGUGUUGUUAUAUGCAUUGGUAUAGGGAAUAUUCGGCUAUAUCUUAUUGUGAAUUGGAUUGAUUUUGUUACAGGUUUUAUAUGAUAUGUAUGGUUGCUUGGCAUGGCUCAUUAAUGAUUUAUAUUUUGAUAAAUCAUUUGUCAUAUGAGUUGAAUUAAAAAUAAUGUCUAGGUUUAUUUAUAUUCGCCCUUGAUACUUAAAAUGUCUUGGGUACUUUGUUAUAUGUUUACGAGGUGAUUAUAAUGGAUAAUGUACGUGCAUGGUCGGUUAUAAGACAAGGGUGAAUGAGAUGGUUGUAACCAACUUGAUUAUAGGUAUAAGUUUAUGUAUUUAUUUGCGCAUAGGAUGGAUUAACUUAUCCAUGAUAUGGUAGUUGUCUGUGCUAUUACAUUGGGUAAAUAAUGCGGUCAGAAGUAUGCAUGAAUGUAAUAAUACGAAGCCUAUGUGAAUUUUGAUUGACAUAUCGACAUUAUAAGGUGUAUAUUUUUUCCACAUGAGUUGGCUUGAAUUUCGUAAUAAAAAUUGCAUUUAUAUUCUACUAGGAAAGGAAGAAACAUACACACAUGCAAUGAUAUAACGUUUGUGGUUCGGUGAUUAAGUGUUUAUAUAUGUAUGCAUAUUCGAAUGGGUGAAUUUACCUAUAUUAAUGCAUGAAACAUGUAAACUCAUGCCAACUAUGAAAUCAUGCUGCAUAAAUGAUAUAUAUUGGAAAUUUGUAUUGUCUGACAUGUAAAGUAGCACUUAUGCAAUUCUUUUAUAUUAAAAGGAUAUAAUAGGUCUGAUGCUUAAUUAAUAAAGUUGAUGGUUAGUUAUUUAUAUUCCGUAUACAUAAAUAGUUUGCUUUGACAUAUAUUGGAUUAUGUUUUAAUUAUGUGUAAGACCAUGUUUGGGACAUGGGCAUCAUUAUAUGAUUACUUGUAAGACCAUGUCUGGGACAUCGACAUCGUUAAUCGAUUUCGUGUAAGACCCUGUCUGGGACAGUGGCAUCGAUAUGUGUUAACAUGUAGGACCAUAUUUGGGAUAUGGCAUUGUAUGAGCUUUAUGUGAUUUUCGAGUAUCCUUGACAAUUUCGAAUGGUUCAACCGGCAUAGUCAAGAUGAGAAAUAAAGUAUGAUUGGAAUAAGUCAUACAAGUACGCACAGAACCUAUGUGAGAAUCGAAUAAAAGUAAAUUGAUGAGUUCAUAUUGUAUUAUGUAUAUUAAAAAAGAAUUGUAUAUAAGUAUGUUUCAUGUCAAAAUGUGUUUAUUUGAUUAUAAUGAAGUAUGAAUUGAAUAAAUAUUGAGUAAUUAAAUGAAAAGUAUGAGUUGAAAAAGGUAAGUUGUCGAAUAAGACCAUAGCUGGGCUAUGGCAAUUGACUUAUAAAACCAUAACUGGGUUAUGGCUUGUGAAAUAAAGACCAAAGCAGAGCCUUGGCAAUAUAUGUGUAAGACCAUAGUUGGACUAUGGCAUUGGGAAAAUCGAUGAAUAUUGAAUUGAAUAAAGUUUAUAUAUAAUUGUUUAUGCUUAUGAAAAUGUGAAUGAAUUGAUAAGAAUAUUCAAACUAUACAUGUUUUGAAUGAAUAAACUCAUGAAAAUUUUGAUCAUCUAUGUACAUGAAUUUGAGAUUGAAUGGUGAAAUCAUAUGAAUUAUAUCAUGAUUUGAGUAAUUGUUUAAAAUGCAUUUAUUUAAUAAUAUGAGUUUAUUUCCAUACGAGCUUACUAAGCUUUAUAGCUUACUUUGUUUUAUUUUCUAUGUUUAUAGAGUUUCGAAAGCUUGCUCGGGUUGGAAGUCAUCGGAGAUCUCAUCACACUAUCCAGCUAUGGUUUGGUUUAUAUGAGCUUUGUGAUUUUGGUUAUAUGGAAUGUAUAGGCUUGAGUGUUUUUUAUAAAGGUUUUGGGUGAUGUAUUGGGUCAUUUUAUAUGGCUUAUUAAUGACUUACGUUUGAUGUGUAAUUUGCCUUGUGUAAUGGCAUAAUUUGGUAUGGUUGGUGAUGGUUCAAGAUGAUCAUUUCGUCAUUUGGUAUAUGAAGAGUAUUUACUUAUGAAAAACAUGAUUUUGGACUUGAUAAAUGCAUGGCUAAUAGAUAAUUUAUGAGUCAAGCUUUGUGUGUGAUUGAUGGUAGUAAAAAUACAUAUUGAAAUAGGUUGUUUUGAUGAGUAUGAUAUGUACUUUGGUAUAUGAUUGAAUAGGUGAGUAAUGAGGAAUCAAUCAUGCUAGCUUGGUAUGUGUUUGAAUGUACUAAUGGUAUUGAUUUGAGUAUAUGAGUGCUUGAUUUUGAAAUGGCUUAUAAUAUGUAUUCAAAUGGUUGUUUUGGCUGCCAAAUUGGAUGUGAGUAAGGUGUUAUAUAUAUGCUUUAAGGUGAUUGAUUAUAGGUGAGGAAAAGUGGCUUAAAACAACCCUAAUUUUGCCCCACACGGUUGAGCACAUGGGCGUGUGGCUUGACCUUGUGCCAGCUGUAACUUAACUAUACAAGUCAGAGAGUUACACGGCUUAGACACAUGGGCGUGUCUACCGGCCGUGUGUGGCACACGGGCUGGCACAUGGGCGUGUGGUCGGCCGUGUGGCCAAGUCAGUAUACCCUUCAGAUUUCCCACGGCCAUGGCACACAGGCGGGUCUCCGGCCGUGUGGUGAAGUCAGUAUGUAUGCCUUGUUUUCACACGGCCUAUGACACUGGCGUGUCUAGUGACUGUGUGAGGCACACGGCUUGUUCACACGAGCGUGUGACCCUAAAAUGUUGGGAAAUUUUCUAAGUUUCCCAAAGUUUGCAAAUGUUAUCGGUUUAGUCCCGAACCACUUCUAAACAUGUUCUAAGGCCUUGAAGAGCCUUGUAAGGGACAAUUUGAUGGUGUUAGGUAUAAUUAUGACUAUGAAUGUUUAAAUUAUGUGAUAUUGAUGUGAUUGAUCAGUAAUACCUUGUAACCCUAUUCCGGCGACGGAUAUGGGUUAGGGGUGUUACAUGGAAUGAAUGGGAGCUGAUUAGCCUUGGCUAGGUUCGGCCAUAGUGCUUAAAAAGGCUUAAAUACAAGUAUCUUAUUCAAACUGAUAGGUUUGAAGACUUAAUGAGUAGCUUGAAUAUUGUAAGAGUCAUUUUGAGUGUGAAAGCUGAAAUUAAAUAACCACUUGUGUGUGAACGCACAAAACCGAAAGGCCUUCAUGUGUGAACGGAAUAAUCAGCUAGUGUGAAAGCCUUCAAGGCCGCUUUGGGGAGCUAAUUGGUCAGCUUAGGAACAUGAAUGAUCAGCCAUUCUUUGGCCUAAUAGGUGCUUGGGAGAGUUCAAGCAUCAGCACACCUAAGCAUUAAAGCCGUCCAUGCAUUUAGCUUGGCAUUAAAACCGGCCAUGCAUAUGCUGCACAAAACAAAUUAACACAUUUAAUUAAUUUAGGACAUAGUAAAUUCGGCUGCACUAGGACAUAUUAAAAACAUGUUUUAAUUUUAAGACAUAUUAAUAACAUGUAUUUAAGCUAAGACAUAUUAAAGACUUGUAUAGAAUAUGACACAUUAAAUUCAGCUGGAACAAAACAUAUUAAAAUCAUGUAAUAAGCUAAAAACAUAAUUAUGAGCUGAACCUAAAUUAACUAACUUAAUUAAAUACUUAAGUUUAUUUCAACUAGUAAACGCAUGAACUAAAAAAAGUAGAAAUUAGGUCAAUUGAGUUGAAUUGAGCUGAACUAAGCUCAUGGAGCUAAGUUUGAGCUAAGUUCGUCUUGCAAGAGGUUGCAAGGUGAUUUUGUUGAGCUAGUCCAAGCUCUCUUAAUAUGUCUAGCCAAUGUCUCGCCCCACACUUGGUUGACUAAGGCUGAAAUAACCUCUUUGAAUUGUUUGGCUCGAGCUCAAGUGAUAGGUCCUUGUGGCAGCUCCAAAGGUUCUUUGUUCAAGCUUGGUGUGACCCAGGGCAUGGUCGUAUCUCUGUUGGAACUCCUAAAGAGAUCAAAAGAUAUUUCCCCAAAUUUUUUCCUCACUCAUGACUUUCAAAAGAAUCGUGAUAUAAACAUUUAGCAAAUCCAUUAAAGUGGUCAUUUGAAAAGUUAGUAUUCAAGAUUGAAAUAUGUACUCUAAGAUAUUAUGUGUUCUCAUGAGGAUGAGUAAAUACACAUUGUAUUCUUUUCCUUCACUAAGGUUUUGUCUCAUUGGGUUUUCUUUUGCUAAUUUUUUUUCCAUAGGGUUUUUAUCUUAGUAAAGUUUUAAUGAAUCAUAUUAUCUAUCAAUAGACAUCUAAGGGGAGUGUUUUAAAUAUUUUAUUAUUAUAAAGUGGAUGUUUAUUAAGAUAAGAAGUUUAAUGCACUUUAGAAUUCUAAUGCCCAUUAGAAAUAGAAUUAUCAUUUAUACUUAUGUUUAUAGAUAUAAAUUUUGAAGAAGCACGGUAAAUAUCAUAUUGAUGAAUAAAAUACAUACUUCUCUUUUUGCUCUCCUAUCUCUAUUUUUUUAUUUUCUUUAUUGUUUAUUUUAUAACAAAUUGUAGACAAUACAAUUUAGAAAAAUGAAUAUUCUCAAUAUCCUAAUUUUAUUGCCUACACAUGAAAAAGUAAUUUAAAUUAUAUUUUAGGAAAUUUGUUUCGCCUUUAAAAAUAAUUUUAAAUUAAAUUAUACGAAGCAAAUUUAUUUUAAAAUUGAAUUAUAUAUAUUAUAACCACAAGUGUUUUCAUCAUUUUUAUGAUUUAAGUAUAAUCUUUUCCCCAAUGGUGAUAUUUACAUAAGACCAUCACAACAAUAUUAACUUUUAAAGUUCAAAUUUAGUCCAAAUGCUUGACAAAAAAUUUCACUCCCACUUCUUCCAUUCCAACCGUGUUAUAACCAUGUCAUACAUACAAUUUGUUUGAAGCGAAUGUAAAAUUAAAACGAAUCAAUUAAUUGAUUAAAUACAUGAAAUUGUAUAAUGAAAGCGUUAUUUCAUGUGCACAAAGAGAAUCGGGAAGACUAUUUACAGCAAAAACAAAUAAAUAAAUACGGUAAUUAAGAUUCUGAAAACGUGAAAAUUUAUGUGCGGAAUGAAUCCAUGUUUAUGAUAUAAAUAUAUAGUCGAGUAGAAAUGCCAACCGACUAGACAAUUAUAGAAGCUAAAGUUUCCUCCCAGAUGAAAUCAAGCAAUGCCAAACUAAUGAAACUGAGAUCAAGUACAAUUAUCUUCUUAGGCCAAUUAUCCAAAUUUAUUACAUUAAAAUGAAAUAUGGUCAAGAAAAAUAAACAAAAUAGCAAUAUUACAUUUUAUGAAUUAGAACAGCAGCGUUGAGGCAGUAAUAUCAAAAUUAACUCGAGAUUAUUAGUCUAGAUUCAAACCUCGCGGCUAAACUUGAAAAAAAAUUCAAAGAAAGAAUUUUAUUAUUUAUAAAUUGAAAGUUUUUUUCUUCUUU